rnacentral:lncRNA from 1 species
GAUGGUAAGAUCACGGCCGAGGAGUUGUUCGGUGUUUUCACCAAAUUAGGGGACGAGCUGUGCACGUUAGACGACUGCCGGGGCAUGAUAGCGCUGGUGGAUAAAAACGGGGAUGGGUUCGUCUGCUUCGAGGACUUUUCAAGGAUGAUGGAGUUGCAGAGAUGAUCGUGAUUAUAUUGUUAUCUAUACAUAAAUCAAUAUGUUUUUAAAACACCCCGUGAUGAUAAUGAUGAUCAUGUGAUUAUGUUUCCUCCUCUUGAUCGUAUAAAACCAAAGUCGUUAAUUUUUUCCUUGAUUAUUAUUAUUAUUUAUAUAUAUUUGCUAAUGUUUUAUUUUUCUUUUAUUUUUAUUAUUAUUGUUAUUUGGGGCAUAAGAAUAAUUUUGAUCAGCGAUCAGUUGAUCACAUCGAGAGAUUGGGUGAUUGUUGCUUUCAUGAUAAUGAUUAUUUUAAGAUUUUAUGGACUUAUUUUAGGCACGAUUCGGAGGAUGUGCCGGCGCCACUGUGUUUGAUAAGAUUGAGUUGAGUACUAACAAUGGUUGUGAGAAAUUAGUUUUACUGACUGUAGUGAAUUAAAUAAAGGCUUUAAGUAGUUAUCAGCAAUCGUGGGCAACAACAGCUAGCUUCAUUAAUUGUUUUUUUGCAUAUUCACACUCAUAUUUAUAAAAAGUAAUAUAUAUUUUUUUAAAAUAUUGGUAACUCCAAUCGGUGAUUAUUAAAUUUGUAACUUUGUAUCAACGAGGGGUGGUAGAAUUUCUUGAAUUCUUACCGGAAUUUAGAUUCCUGGUUGUUUAGAGUGGGAUUUGAUGCAAAAUAUUGUUUUGAUUUAUUAUUCGUAUUAAGAUUUGGAACUCAAAUUUAUCCUAAUUAACUAUCCGAAGAUUUGGGAGUUUGGAAAUUUCAACUAAGAUCUUAAAAAAUGUAUGACAAGUUCGUUCGAUAACAUGACGGUUAUAUUUGUACGAUAAGUCAUUUUAAUAAAUAAUAAAUAUGAUGUUGAUUAUAUUUAUAUGAUAUGUUUAUGACAAAUCUACAACGUAUAACAUAAAACUCAUAUCAUCUGAGACAAUUUAAAAUUCUAAUCGAAUUGAAAUUGACACAUAUUGUUAUCCUAAUUUACUGUUCUGAACGAGAUUCAAGAUAUUUUUUUGUCCCUAUUAAUAAUUAAGAGCAAAUCUCGAUCCACCUUGUUUCGAUACCAACCUAGUAUCAAUGUCACAUUGUGAGGAAAUUGUAAGGGCCAACUUCAAUCAAUGCAAUCUUAAAGGAGAGGACAACCCAAUUAAAGUUCCGUUUGGUGGAAGUGCUGCGUUAUCACACACCCAACUGCUUUGGCUCUCACAACCCAGCACCCUCAAAUGAAAAUCAUAGAAAUUUUAGUAAAAUUUUAUUUCGCAACUUUGUUGCCAGCUCUCUGAUCGUUAAAUUGUACUUCUCAAACAAUAAUAUUGGUUAUUUGGUUGCACAAAUGAUAAUUUUUAGAUUCAUAUGAACUUUUUUUCUCCGUAAGCUCUUCUUUUUUAUCAAGCCACUGCAGUGAGAACUCUUAUUUCUGUAACUUUAUCUUCAAUUUUUGAGUUUCUAUUUUGUUCUUUUUCUUUUUCAUUUUUUUUCUUUUAUCAUUUAAAAUAGAUUUCUCCAUGGAUCUCUAAACCUACAGAGAAAUUUUUUCUACCCAAAUCAAGAAAUGUAAUGAAUAUUUGUUGUUUUAUUUUUGCAUGGUGUAGUCAGGUUGUGUUUAUUAUUAUAUAUAGCCCAAUUGUUACACGCGCAUCUUCUUUUUGGGAUGAAGCUACUCUCACAUAUUUUUGUUGUAUUUUUAUCUCUCUGCAAUCUAAUCUCUAUGUAUAUUUUGAGAACAUAGAUAUUUUUUUAGUAAUGAUUAAAUGAUGACACAUUAAUUUGUAAUUAAAAUUGGUAUGAACAAACUCUCUAAAAAGUAAUAUCACUAAUAUGUGGAGGUAAUUUGAUUUUUAAUCACUUAUUUGUCAGAACUCAGAACGGGCAAUUCGGUGAUUAGAAAUUUAAUUACUUAACGUAAGUUAAAAUGCAUAAAAUAUUGAUAAAUAAUCUGACAUUUGGCGCAUAAUAAUAAUAGAUAAAGAAGCAUGUCGCUUUCAAUAACUUCGAUAGUUGCAAGGCAUCGCUUUUAAUAAAGUCAUUUUAGUAAUAAUACAAUUCAAGAUUCCCGUCUAUGCACGUUAAUAUGUACAUAUAUUUUUAAUUGCGUAUAUUCUUUUUAAUAUAUAUAUAUAUAUAUAUACUGCUGUUCACAAGAAUGUCUUACACAUUGCAUGUUUUUAAUUUUCUUCUGACACAAACUUAAAUUUUCUUAUCAUUAUUUUGCAGCUUAUAGUAGACGUUAUGGAUCCGAAAUUCCAUCAUUAUUAUUGUUAUUAUUUGUUUCAAAUAUAACAUUGUAACUUCCAUCUCACAAGUUAUCAUCAACAUCAUUAACUAAUAAGAGCAAUAAAAAUCUUUGGCUUAUUGGGAGGGUAGUAGGCAUCAAUAGUAAUCUCUUAGUUGUAAUCUGAAUAAGAGUCUCAUGUAAUUUAAAAGAAAAAAAAAUAAAAAUUAAUUCAUUAAUUUGCACCUACUUCUUGUUAGAUGAUUAAGUACUAAUUUGGUAAUGUUAUAAUUUUAAAAAUUAUUAUUACUAGUUGUACUGUAAAAAUAAUCAAUGGUAGAGAGAAUUAGUUAAAAACUUAGUAAAAUUUAUUUUUAAAAAUAAUUUUAUAUGUUUGGUAAAUCUGCUAUAAAAAUAUAAAUUACUGAAAUAAAUAUAAUGUUAAAUAAAAUUUAUUUAUAAUUUUAUAUAUUUGUAGUCAUGUAUAUACUUUUUUUUAUGUGUACAUAAUAAUAAUUGAUAACUAAAAUAUAUAUUUUUAUUUUAUUAAUUCUAUUUUUUUCAAUAUAAUUGAUAAUAAUAAUAAUUUCUUUAAAUUUAAUAAUUUUAUUUCCUAAUUGAAUAACGAUAAUUUUAAAUUUUUAUAAUAUAUUUGAGGAUAUAUAAGAAAUUUCAUUAACUAUAAAACUGAUUCUCAAGUUAUAGAAGGAAGAUUAAAUUUUAUUGCAUUGUAUUAAGUAUAAAUGUGGGAUUGGGGAAUUAGCAUUUAGAAUGAGAAUGAUGAUUAUGUUUACUUGGGAUGAAAAUAAAACAUGUGAACCCACAUAUUUUUGAGAUUAAAGAAUAGAAAUUUGAUUCUAAAUUUCUUAAAUACACCAUUUUACCCCACUCAAAUUUUAUAAUUUCACUUUUGUUCUCAAUUAAAAUACUAUAAUGUUAUUGUUAUUGUUAUUAUUCUUAUUCUAUGAUCAUUAAUAACAAUAUUUUUUAGAUAAUAAUAAUUAUUAUUAUAAAUGAUACAACAAUUAUUAUUCCGAUUCUUAGAUAAAGUAAACAAAUUAAUGAGAGUUCAACACAUUCAGUUCUGAUUUUCACAACUCAAGUAAAGAGCGUAUUAUGAUUCUCAUUCCAACCUAUUCUGAUUUCGGUUUAUUCUGAUUUCAGCGUAUUUCGAUUGCCAAUUGGUAAACGCCUUACAAAAAUAAUCAUAUGAAUACAUAUGAAAUUGCUUUCAAAUUACUCAUUCUUUGCUUUUCAAAAUAUAUUAUGGGAUGAGGUGAUUUUGCGAUUUUGUCAUAGGUGAUUCUUAACAAAAUUCACUACAAAUUAAAAUUAACUUUAAACUUUUUAAAAUCACUUUUCGUAUUCUCAAAAGAAAUCCUAAAUGGAUGCUAAAUUUUAUAGAAGGAAGAUUAAAUUUUAUUAUUGCAAAUACAACAAGCGCAAUAUAUGUUUUUUUUCCCUUCAUAAAUAAAUGAUUGGUGCGUAUCAUUAUUUAUGAAUUAUGUAAAAUGACUUUAUCAUGAUAAACAUUAUUUUUCAUGACAAGUAAUUAGAUAGGAAAUUUUAUAAUUUGAAAUAAUUAUUAUUUUUUGUCCACAAAUUCGGAUUUACUUCUAAGAAUUUAAAAAAGAAAAUCAACCACCAUAACUUCAUAAUACACACACCACAAGAAAAAAAAAAAGUGGACUUCAAGAAUAAAUGGAGGAGGUGCCUACCAGGACUUCGGAGUUUGCUUUUAGGGUCCAAUUAUGUUGCAACAAUAGUACGGUAUUAUAGUUACUUUCAGUUAUUGAAUCUAACUAAUGCAAUUGUAUAACUGUAGAUCCAAUGACUAAUUAUAACUGUGGUACCAUAUUACAGUUGUAACAUAAUUUUGCCCUUGCUUUUAUUGAUGUUCUUAUUAAUAUAAUAAUUAUACGGUAGGUGAAGUCAUAAUUAAAAAUUAGUCCGAAAGCUGAAAAAGAAACGUCAAGGAAACAAGGGCGGUUUGGCGUGAAGUGAGGGAAGGAGGAACAUGGCUUUUCUACUUCUCUUCUUUAAUUCGAACAUGGCAAUGCAUACCACGACACAUCAAUUCUUUAAAUAUUAAUUUUGAUUUGAAUUAUGUUUAUUUUUUAUAUUUAUUUUAACUCAUAUGAUAUCUGACGUAUCAUUACUUGACACAUGCUGUAAAAAUCAACUUGUUAGUAAUAGAUAAAUAGAUAAUGGGUCUGCUUACAGUACAGAUAUUCAAUGAUUCGUACAGCUACGGUUAAAUAAUUUAAAAAUUAACAAAAAUCAUUAAAAUAUUAUCAUCUAAAUUGUAGAAUAUGAUACCCUAAUUCACAACCAUAAAUAAUAAAAUGGAUUACCACAAUAUAUUUAAUCACUUUGAGUCAAAAAUGAUAUAACAUCAUAACAACUAUGUAAAUAAUAUUGUUGUAAUUGUAACAUUGAUUUUUAUUUUUUUUUUUGAAAUGAAAAUAUAGCUUUCAUUCCCUCCGCAAAUUGUAUCCUUAUUUCCCAAUUGUAACAUUGAUUAGACGCCACUUCGGCCUUGGUCGGAGUGGUGGGCUGCUGCCCUCACAAUGCUUGUGAGGGCAGCGGUUCAAGCUCCCACAAAAGCAUUUGUGGGGGCUAACGUGCUUAUUUGUUUAAUAUUUCAAAAAAUUUCUUCUCCCUCGUGCAAUACGAGUGGAGUAUGGACCUCCCUCUUCUGUAAGGGAUUAUUUGUCUGGGCAUGUACUUCACAGAAUUCAAUGUAAUAAUAUAAGUCCCAAUCAUGUAUUUCUGAUUGUAAAUAUCAGUGUAAUAUAUUUGCUAUAAUAGCAGUUGUAAAUAUCUGUGUAAUGCAGUAAUAUGAUGAUUAAUCAGUAUUCAAAAAAAAAAAACAUUGAUUAGACAAAAAGGAAAAUGAGAUUAUUUAUUGGAAUAAGGUGGGGGUGCUUUUUCCAAUGUUAGUUGAUGUCGUGCUGUGUGCUCCAUGACUUUUUCCAGUUUUUCUACUUUCCUCGAAGCUUCUUUCACUGUCCUCUCAGUCAGAAAAAUCAAUGGAUCCAACCAUUUUUGUUAUUGAUCAAUUAAUUAAUUUUUAAUAACUCAUUCAUUUUUCAUAAAUAUUUAUAAAUAUAGGAUCAAUUCUAUUUUAUUAGGUGUAAGUAUUUUAAAUAUUUCUAAUAAAUUGGUCCGACCACGUUAUUGUAGGGGCACAUCAAUUUUGUAACUCUAUGAAUUUAAAAGUUUCAAUAUGUCCAUCAUAUUACUGCUUGAACCUAAACUUUUGAUUACAAAACAAAUAUUUGUUAGAUUCUUCCCAAAAGAAAAAAAAAUUAUUGCAUCAAAAUAUGUGUCCAAUUAUUUACUAAAAUCGAUUUAAUUUCUUGUUAUAAAUUUAUCGGAAUUGUGCUAUUUUUGUGAUGUAACGAAUAGGUGUUUCUUUAUUUUCAAAAAAGUAAAAUAGACGUUGUUCAAUUUCAAACUUUCCCACCUCAACGCCCGAAUGCCGAGGCAUUAAUUUGAAUAAACAAAUAAUUGUACUUGAUCUUUGGGGUUGAGUCUUGGAAAGCUCUUAUGUCUGGGACCUGUCUAUGGUACAGAUUCUGUGACAAACAUCUCCCAUCAUCCCACCAUCCGAUUUUCUAUUGUUUAGUUUCUCACUCCACAUCCAACCACAUCCAACGGCUGAUGCUGCAGUCUGUACCUUACAGAUUCUGUAAGCUAGUCGAGUCCCUUAUGUCUGCCGUAACCUGCACUCUCAAUCACAGUCAAGGUAGAAAACAAAUGGUCACUUUCACAUUUGAUUGCUUUCAGUGAAUGGCAAAGAUUAUGGACUUGACUAGCUCACAGAAUCUGUAAGCUACAGACUGCAGUAUCAGCCGUUGGAUGUGGUUGGAUGUGGAGUGAGAAACUAAACAAUAGAAAAUCGGAUGGUGGGAUGAUGGGAGAUGUUUGUCACAGAAAGAUUAUAAUUUGUAGCAUAAAUAAUGUAUUAUCUAAUAAAUCAAAAAUUAUAGGGAUUAGCCAAUAAAUGAUAGGAUAUCAUUGAAUAAUAAAUCAGACAACAAUAAUAAAGGUAUUAUAGAUUUUUCAAUGAAUCUUUUUGAAGUUAGUCUAGUUCUCAUAAACUUGCUCAACAAAUAUGGGGACAUUAUCAAUGGGCUUUUGGUUCAGUGGGAGAAUUUUUGUACUUAUAAUGUUGAGUGUAAGGGUUUGAGCCUCCAUAAAAAUAUUAUGGGGGUUAAUUUCAAUUUUUUCUCGAUUAUCAAAUAAUUAAGUGGAGCCAAUUUAUCUCUUUCGAAAUAUGAGUGGAGUGGACAGUCCUAAAAUAUUAGAGAGGAUUUAAAGAAUCUGGACAACGCUUUAGAGGAGUACAUGCCACGAAGAAGGUCUCAGUUGUAUAAUCUAUUUGUAAAUAUUAAUUGUAAUAUUUGAUAUAAUAUCAGUAACAGUCCUGUAUAACAAUAUUAAAAAAUAAAAUAAAUAUGGGGAUAUCUGCAGGAAAUGAGGGACACAAAGGUGAUUGAGAUCAAAAUGUUUAAAUAAGGGACAUAUUUGCAUUUACCAGUUUCUUGACAAAGCUUUUGUGUAAAUUGAUAAUGGAUUUCUCACUGGAUUAUUUGUCAGUCUUGUGGUAGCUAAAUUUACAUGAUUAAUGAAGGAACAUUGGCAAUUAUUAAAAAGUUUUUCUUUCUUCGAAAACACUUUUUUCAGAGAAAAAAGUGUUUGAAUGAAAGUUGUCUGAAGUCGUCAUGGCUUAAUCUUAGUCACUCCUGGAUUGGGUGUUUUCUUUUUCUUUUCUUUUUCUUUUUCUAGUCUUCUUUUCUUCUCUUUUUAAUCUUCAUUUACUUUUCUCCCCAUUUAGAGAUAGCAAGCGUCAAGCAAAAAGAAAGAGGACAACCAAGGUUAAGGUUGGUUUAGCUAUAGUCUCAUCAGGAGUGGUGGUAAGCUAUUACUGUUGAAAGGCAAUCAACUAGUUUCAGGAAUGGAUGCAAAGGAAUUAAUCAAAAAGUGCUAAGCAAUUUCGUUAAAAGAGGAAGAAGAGGAUAUAGUAACAUUCAUGGGAAGAAUGAAGAUUAAAAGAGAGAGAACUGCUGCAAAUUGUUUAGUGGGAAAAAUUUUUACACACGAGAGGAGUCAAUAUAAAGGUUUAAAAAUAACUAUUCAACAAGUAUGGAGAACAAUUAAGGAAGUAAAGGUAGAAAGCAUGGGUGAAAAUAUAUUCUUAUUCAAGUUCGGCUCAGAGGAGGAGAAAAAAAGAAUCUUGAUGGGAGGGCCAUGGCACUUCGAUCGAGCACUGAUAGUGUUAUCAGAGCCAAGUGGUAUUAGUAAUACAAAGAAACAAUCCUUCAUGUACAUAUCAUUUUGGGUACAAAUUCAUAAUUUAUGCAUCAUGUGCAUGAAUAAAGAUGUUAUUACAGAGGUGGGGAAAAAGAUUGGCAAGGCAUAGGAAAUUGAAACAGAUGAUGUAGGGGAGUGUAUAGGCCAGUUUGCCCGAGUUAGGAUUUCCAUAAAUGUCACACAACCCUUGAAGAAGGUAGUAUUUGUGCAAAUAAAUGGGGCCAAAAUUUGAAUGCCAGUGCUAUAUGAAAAUCUACCAGACUUUUGUUUUUGUUGUGCUCAUAUUGGCCAUCAGUACAGGGAAUGCUUGAAGUAUAAGGGCCAGCCAAAAGAAGAGUUACCAUAUGGAGGGUGGAUAAGAGCAAUGUCACAAUCAGAAAGGGUGAAGCUAAACCGAAUGAAGGAGAAAGACAUUCAUGAACAAAUCCAAGUCAAAGGAAGUGAUGCAGCAGUCAAUGUCCCAAAACCGCAUCAAAGUCAUUCGAAUUCGAUGUUUCUCAAAGACUACAUUCAAGCACCAUGGACAAUGAGAAGGAAACCAGAGGUGCACUAGGGGUCACAAGUCAAGAGCCUACUAUUGCAAGAAAACCACUUAAACUAGACAAGGACCCAAAUGGAAAUCUGCAAGUAGAAAGUCAGACCUUGGGCAAUGACAAUAGCAAGGUGCAGUGUAGGAGGGUUAGUAGUGAUAGCAGCUCUAGAAACAAGAGCCCACAGGAGGUAAAUGAAAAUUAAAGGGAAAAUGCUACUAAAGAGGAUAGUUAAACUAAUUUGAAUAAGGAUCAACCCACGUCAGAUGAAGAAGAAGUGGAUAACGGGCCAAACAAAGUCAAACCUCGGCCAAGACCAGAAAAUGGAAAAAAACAAGAAAGAUUUUCAAGAGGGGAAAUAAGGAGUGCAAAUGAGCUUUUGAGUAUAAAAAGACCAAACAAUGAGUUGAUAUGGCCUAGCCCUGAAAGUAAAUGUAAAAGAAUAUUCAACCCCUUAAAGCAAUCAAACAGUGAGAACUUCUCCAGCUCUUCUAAAGCGAAACUUCAACUGAAACUACUUAAUACAGAGCAUAAUACAAUGGUGGACUUGGAGAAAAUGAAGGAAGACAUCCCCUAGCUCUCGCUAGCAAUCAUAAAGAUCCUAAGUUAGAACGUUCAAGGUUUAGGGAAGACUCGAACGCGCCUAGCCAUGAAGAAAGUUCUCUACCUGCAUAAGCCAUAUAUCUUUUUUUGUUGUGAAACUAAAAUGCUGGCCAAGCAGGUUUAUGUAGAAUGUAGGAAUUUUAAUUUUGAGUACUGUUUUGCGGUUGACAGAAAUGGAAUGAAAUGAGGACUAGCCCUAUUUUGGAAUGCAAAGGACAUUAUUGAAAUAAAGUCUUAUAGCCAUCACUACAUCGAUGCUUUGGUACAUAAUAAUAAUGGAAAGGUGUGGCGUUGCACAGGGGUAUAUGGCCAUCUGGAAACUAAUAAGAAACAUCACACUUGGACACUCCUGGAGAGGCUAGCAGGUAUCUUCUUUUAUCCUUAGUGUUGCUUUAGAGACUUUAAUGAGGUAAUGUACCUACAUGAAAAAUCAGGGGGCAAUGACAAACUUAAAUAUGGUGGCUAAGUUUAAAGAAGUUGUUGAGGCAUGCAAUUUGAUGGAUAUUGGCUAUAGUGAAUACCAAUUUUCAUGGUUGAAUAUGAGAUAUGACCCCAAUUUCAUUGAGGAAAGAUUAGAUAGGUUUUUAUGCAACAAAGAUUGGAGGGACAAAUUUCAAGACUCAACAACAACAAAUCUAGUGAAUUGGGUCUCAGAUCAUUACCCAAUCCUAAUGGAGGUGAAAGAAAGAAGCAAGGACAUAAGCUAUAUGAGGAAAUCUUUCAGCUGAGAUUAUUGUGAAGACAUGUGGAGUUCAUAUGAAGAUUGCAAGAACAUUGUAAAUGAUGAAUGAGCAAAGUUUGGGGGGAGUACUAAGGAAAAUCCAGUGCAACAAUUCCAGAAGUUAGCUAAAAGCUCUCUAGCUUAACUCAAAAUUUGGAUUAACUCAGAAUUUAAGGGCAGGGAGAAGAAGCAAAACGAGCUAAUUGAGCAGCUUAAGGAUGCAAAACAAAGCAAAGGCCAUGAUAUGGAUGAGAUGCAUAUUGGGAAGCUGGAAAACUAGAUAAGCAACAUGUUAAUGGAUGAGGAGAUAUACUGGAAACAAAGAUCAAGGGCUGACAGGCUAAGAGAAGGUGACAAAAACACCACAUUCUUUCUUGUUAAAGCUUCGACUCGUAGAAGGAAAAAUAAAAUUUGGGAGAUUGAAGAUAAUCAAGAGAAAUGGCUAGAUAACCGAGAUAAUAUCAAAAGAGAGUUUUGUGAAUAUUUUCAGAGUUUAUUCAAAACUUCCAAUCCAAGCCAUGUUCAGGUUCAAGAUGUUUUAACAGGGAUACAACCAAAGGUGACCUCAUAGAUGAAUACCCAACUGGAAGAGCCGUUUACCGCUGAAGAGAUAAUGGAUUCUUUGUGUUGGUUAAUUUUCAAUCAAUUGCUAUUGAUGCCAAUGUGCAAGUGUACACAACAAGGCCAAUGUGCAAGUGUACACAACAAGUAAUAAAGUGAUGAGUAUUCAAGAUCGUCUCCAUAGGGAUUGAUGUUAUUAGAAAUGUUAUAGCAAUCAUAAUAGUGCAAUCUACCUUUAUGUCAAGAUGAACAAAUUGAAAGUUGAUUACUACCAAAAUUGAUAAUUGUAAGGAAAUAAAAUAAAUAAAUGCAGAAAUGAAAUGAAUUAAAUAAAUUGCGUAGAGGAAUCAAAUGAGAAUAGGGUAGUUGAAUAAUCAAACUCUCUUCAUGGGUUGACUGUUUUUCAUCAAAUUAGCACCGGUUGUUACAACAAUUUCUACAGCACUGGGUAGAAUUAUUAUGCACCCUCAGCUGUUGCGUGUUGGAAUUCUCAUACCUUUAAGUAACUUAGUAAUGACCAGUUGCUAUUUUACUUACGGCAUGACAUUAUGAACAUCUAUUCUCUCCACCCUACAAGGUGAGUACCUAUAUCUAGUUCUUUACAAAUCUUAACUUCAAGUAUAGCCCUUAUGGGAUUCAAGAUAAACUUAAUCCAGGAAACUCAAAUUAAGAUCAAGUAUUACUUUAAUAAUAUCCACUAAGACAUGCCCUUUUACGGCUCUAUUUUAACUUGAACCAUUAAAUAGGUGGUCAACCGAAAUAACAGUUAUAAUAAUAACUACUAGAGUAAAAUGCUAUAGCAAUUAUGUAGCAACUCAUAAGAACAGUAAAAAACCCAUUUAGAUUGUUUGUCACUCAACUAUAACAAGUUUAGUUCAUACUUUGACAGAGAAAAAUAAACAGCAAAAUAUUGGUCAUGAAAUACAUUGGUUCAAUCAAAGAGUGAGAGAAGAACAAGUGAGAACGACAAAGAUUGAAUCUAGAUAACUCUGCUGGAUUCUUCAAGGAUGCAGCAUUGGUUCCCUUCAAUUUUGAUCGUUUUUCUUCUUUUCCUCUUAAUCUUUUUCAAUGUUAAUUCCUUGCCGCCAUUUUAUGUGAUGCGCACCCCUUUUUAUAACUGAAAUCUAGGGUAAACAAAAACCUAGGGCGUGCAUGAGUCAAAUUAGAAAACUGCAGAUCGCAGUUCUGCAGAUAUCCCGCACUAAGUUUUCUCCAGCGUUGUUCUAGGAUUGCUACAGCAACGACUAUAACACUGCACUGUUCGAGGUUUUGUUUCACUUCUUUUGUUGCCAUAUUCUUUCUCCUUUUUGCUAGCCUACUACCUCAGCAUCCCUUCAUGGAUUAUAAACUUCUGAAAACCUACAAUUAUGCACAUGUUUUGAGCACAAAUUACUUUAAAUCAAGUAAAACUUAUUAAGACUAAACUAAAAUGGAUGUUUAUGCAAAAAUGUAACAAAAAUGUAAUAAAAACACAUCAUUUACUCUUUAAGUGGUCUUGAUUUAAGUCUUGAAUUACCAUAAUAACUCUCAUUUCAUAGAGUUAUCACACCCCUAAACUUAAACCGUUACUUGUCCUCAAGUAAUGACAACAUUCUAACACUUCAUGCACACAACAUGCAACAAAUAACUUCGCUCUGUCAUCAAAUCUGUAAGGGUUCUUCAACCUUCAGAUCACAAUCUUAAUCAUGCAAAAUAAUUGUAGUAGUUCAGUUCUAGACUUAAGUUUCCUUCUGUCCAAAGUGUGUGUGUGUUACUUUGAUUAAAUUCUAGAGACGCUACAACAUUACCAAGAGAUUGCAUGUAAUUCAGAGGUAGCAAAAGUUUAUUCACAUAUGGGGUAGCAGAAAUCACACAUACUCAAACUGCUCUAAUAAGAAUGAAAACUUAAGAGUACCCAUCCCUCUUCACAGCAACAUUCAUCUUUCAUGUGAAUGUCAAUCAUUUGUAAUGAUAACACCCAGUUACUCAAUCAAUGUACAUAUCAAAGUUGUUGUAGCAAUAUCCGUAACAUAAUCUUAUCUAAACAUAUCUUUUAACUCAAGGCUGAACAUGGGGCUCAUAAACAGGCCUGAUUACUCAAUAUCCUAGACAGAGGACUUCCUAUUAUUGUCUCACUUUCUUUUUUAGCAUGAAUUACUUUAAAUCAAGCAAAAUUUAUUAAGACUAAACUAAAAUGGAUGUUUAUGCAAAAAUGUAACAAAAAUGUAAUAAAAACACAUCAUUUACUCUUUAAGUGGUCUUGAUUUAAGUCUUGAAUUACCAUAAUAACUCUCAUUUCAUAGAGUUAUCACACCCCCAUACAGAACACACAUAAACACAACCCCCCCAAACUUAAAUGGUGCUGUGUCCUCACAAGCACACAAAAUAAAACCAUAUAACCAAACAAAGACAUGUAGAAUGAAUCAAAAAAUGAAAACAUAACGAAAGAAAAGUUGUUCAGAACUAAUUAAAAUGACUAGCAGGAAUGGGAUACUCACCUGUUGUUUGGACACUGCUGCAAUAUGAUGUAGGGACUUUAGCGCUUUUUGGAUGCACUUCGCAGCUUAUCCUUAGGGGAUUCUUGCGGGGAGGUAGCUGACAACGUCUGUUGCUUAUUCUGCAAUGGGCUGGUGGGAGGAGUUGCAGUUGGGGCAGCUUGCUUGGUUGACACAAAUCUAGUCCUUUUUGGUUCUGGUGAGGCUACUGCAGCAACGCUGCAAGAGGUUUCUCCCUUUCUUUUGCUGGGUCCUCGAGGAAUGGAACGAAUAAGUUUGCUGUGGAGGGGCUGGAGUGGGGGCAUCAGCUGCAUGUCCCUCAGCUGUGAUGGCGACAAUGAUAUCAAGCAACUACUUAGUCUCUGUGGGUGUACGAGUGACUAUGGCUGCUGCAGCUUCCAGCUCUACAUCAACUUGAUCGGCUUCAUCGUUAGAGGCAGGGGGUAAUUACUUUUUCCUUGCCCUUUCUAGAAAGGAUUGGAAUAAGAGGCUCCUCUUCUUGUAUGAUGUGCUUUUUUCUGCUUCUGUUGGUGAACUGUCAGUUGCAGACUUGUCACCCUCUUCCUCAGGUUGGUCAGAUUGGUCAACAAUAUCUGACUCGGCCUCUGCUUGUGGUUCUGCUGCAGCCUCCUCUUCUGGUUCGUCUGUGUCAGUAGCUUAUGCGCUGACUUUUGCUGGAGCCUCUGUAGUGUUGGUGUCAAAAUUGUACUACUGGAGCAAUGCAUCAGGAAAAUUCUAAUGGGUACUUUUCAUAUAUACAUCAAAUUGGUACAGGUGGCUUUCCAGGUGCUGUAAAUAGCUCCAAAAUUGAUCGUUUUCCCUUUGCUGAGCUUCAACACAUUGAGUGAUGCUGGUGCUCAGUGCUUGUAUUCUCUGUUCUAACCUAAUAGCUCGUCUCACUCCUGUUAUAAUAGCUGGUUCAGAUGUGGAUCCAGCAACUUCACCAGCAAUUCUCUCGAUGGUACGUGCAGUAAGGGCACCAUCAUUCUUGACAUGUUCAUCUCUUGCAUCAAGACGAACUCCUGAUACUAAACAGAUGCUGGUGAUGAGUGAGGGAAAUAGCAAGGCAGCUGCUUUGUAGUUCUUCAUGGCAUAGUCCCAGAUUUCAUUUUUGAUAAUGUUUCCCACAUCUAUGGGAAGCCCUCGAACAAUAACAUAUGACAACACCAACAUUUCUUGUGAAACAAUAAUGGUGUGGGUGGUUGGGAUAAGUAGGGAUUUCAGAAAUUUCACCCACACCUUUACAAUGGGUUUUAAGUCUAUUCUGUUAAUUACCCGCCCUUCCUCAUUAACCCAUGAUGCACCAUCUACUGUGAGUGUCUUGAAAAUUUUGUUCUAUCUUUGCGGGUUUAAUUUGUCAAGUAACUUGGCAUACUCGCAAUUUAUUUCAGUAGGUAAAUUAUAAAAGGCAUUUAUAACUCGAGAACCUAAUGGAACAAUCGAGUUUCUUACCUAAAUGUUGUGCUGACCAUGGCUUACCAAAUUGGCAUAAAAUUCUUUCGCUACUUGCAGCACAGGGUCUUGAGGGUGGUCACAAAACUCUAGCCACCCACGCUUUGCUACAACAUUGUAUAGGGAUUGCACAAUUUUUGUGGGUUGGGGUGGGAAUUGAAACCUUUUUUCUUUCAGAAUCUUGCACGGUUCAAUGAAUUCUUCGUAUUUUUCUUCCGCAUGGUAACUUUGGAAUCGUGAAGAAUCUUUUAGUCGGCUAGCUAUCCUUUUGUAGCUUGGCAUUGCUAGAGCAGUAAGAAUUCGAUGGUAAUUUGCCUGUGAGUAAAAUGAAAAGAAUUGCUAGAGCAGUAAGAAUUUGAUAGUAAUUUACCUGUGAGUAAAAUGAGAAGAAGUAGUUAAGAAGUAUUGGUGUCGUGACUAUAGAACCCGAUUGCUUGCUCUAGCAGCGGUUACAUACUUUUCUCCAAUAGCAGCUGACACUUGGCUUGCUACUGUACUCUGUUAACAAUGCAGCCCCAAUUGUUAGUAUGGAAUCCAAUUGUCACAUACAUUUCUCUUGAGAAAUUUAAAAAUAAAUAAAACCAAUCCUAAGUUAAAGAUAAAACAAUCCUAAAGGACAACAAAUAAAAGUUAAACAAUCCUAAAUAAGGGAAGUAAAAAUAAAGUAGAAUAAAAUAAAAUAAAAGGAAAAACAUUUAACAAAACCAAGGAGGAUCCUUUUUAUUUGAAGUGACUGCCUCCAAAAUGGGUUGCCUCCCAUUGAGCGCUUGAUUUUAGGUCCUUCAGCUUGACCUCACUUGAGUGCACAUGCACUUGGUUCUUUAAGGAGUAAGACCUCCUUUGAACAAUCUGUAGCUGAAUGUAUGUAAUGCCUAACGCUAUGCCCAUUGACUUUGAAUUCUUGGCCUGUCUUUUCAUCUAAGAGAUCAACAGCCCCAUGGGGGUAAAUUCUGAGAAGCUUGAAUGGUCCAGACCAUCGAGAUUUCAGUUUUCCUGAAAACAAUCUUAGCCUCGUAUUAUGGAGCAGUACUAGUUGACCAGGGAUUAAUUUUCUGUAUUGGAUAUGUUUGUCAUGCCAGUGCUUUGUUCUCUCUUUAUAAAUUCUUGCAUUUUCAUAUGAGAACAUACGUAAUUCAUCAAGCUAUGUUGGAUAUGUUUGUCAUGUGAUGAGCAUAUAAUAUAUACAUAUUUUACCCUUAAUUAAAUAAUUGUUAGUUAUAUUUAUUUGUUAUUUUUAAUUAAUUAAAUUAUUUUAUUGAAUAGGGAUUUAAUUGGAGAUUAUGGAUAAAAAGAGCAUAAAGGAGUUCAAUUUGUGAGCAGUAAAGAUUAAUUAACUUGGAAGCAAUUAUGCUUAUAUGCAUGUUAAUUCAAGCCAAGGAAACCGAACUCAAUAAAUGCAUUCGUCAUCCACAUGCAGACAAAGAAGAUAAAGUGAUGGAAAGCAAUUUGAAGGACCCGCACUUGGCUUUCAUGAGUGGAAAAGGAGUGCAUGUGAGUGAAGCCAAAACAAAUUAAAAGCUUUGCCAGCACAUGAGAAUUAAAUAAAGAUUGAUUUGGGCUUUGCAUAAGUGGGCCGAGUGUUAACUUGUGUGAGACAGUUUAUUUGCAAUCAAAACUUGACAAGGAUUUGAGCCAACUAUAAAAGCCGAACUUUGGCUUUCGAAAAGAGGAGCCGCCAGAGGAGGAGAAAAGAAACGCAGACGCGAUUCGGCAGGGAAGAGCAGCAACAGUUCAGCUUCUCCAUGGCUGUUUUUAUUAAUUUUGUUGCUCUCAAUUCAAGUAUGUCUAGUUAAUUUUCUUAUACUGAGGUUAAGGAUGAAAUCCUAUUUAAUGAAAUAAUUAUCUUUGUAUUUAAUUAAUUCCCUACAUGUGUGCUUUAAUGAUUAUGGUUUUUAUUUCACAUGAUUAAUUGGAUGUUAUUAGAAUCUUUUCAUCAAUUUUGUCAUGCAUUAUUGAUUGUUAGGAUUAAUAUUCAAUUAAAUCUAUGCUUAGAUCUAUAAAGUUUGUAUAUGAUUAUCUUUGAUUCUAUGUCUUUCAUUAAAUUGUUUACAUAGAGUGCUUAGGAAAACUUUGACUCUUUAUUAUUCAAGAUGUUUACAUGUGAUUCUUAGAUAUCAUACUAUUAAGCAGAAAAAGAACUUACACAAGAUUAAUUUUAUUUGGGCUUAAUUGUUAUAUCCAUGAGAUGACAUAGAUUGAUUUCGAAUUGUCACUCUAAAAUUAGGGAUUAAUUAAUAAUUAGAUAAUUACUAAUUGACUAGUGGUGGAUUCCGAAACCUUGGUAAUUUUUGUCUUAUUGAUUUCUCAUUUGCUUUAAUUAUUUUCUUAGUUUAAUUAGUUUAAUUUCUUUUAAAACUCAAUUUGCUCAACUAGGUUAGGAUUAAUAUUAAUUUUAGAUUUAAAUUAGACUUUUCAAUUUAUAACAAUCCAUGUGGGAUCGACCUCGUUACCACUAUUCUAUUUCUAGAUUCGUGCGCUUGCAAGUAUAUUAAAAUUUUCACAAGUUUUUGGCGUCGUUGCCGGGAAUUGUGCAUGAAAGUCAAUUUAAUCUAGGUUGAUUUGAUUCUUCCACUAGUUAUAAUUUAGGUUGUCUUUUAUUUUAUUUUUUAAAUUAAAAAAAUUAUUUGUCUUUAAAUUCAUUAUUUGGUUGUUUGAUUUCUUUUAUUUUUAAAUUCCGUUUAUUUUCAUUAUUGUUGGUUUAUUUUAUUUUAUUGUAUUUUAUUUUUUUUCUUUCCUUGUCUAGUUAGUUUAUGAGUGUUUGAGAACGUGAUUUAACAAAUCAUUUGGUAAAAAAAGAGUCAAAAUUUGAUAGUAGUCGAAAUAGUUCUUCAGAAGUCGAAAUAGUAGUCGAAAUAUUUUAAAUUCCACUGCUGCUCUAGCAUCAUUAGUAGGUAAUGCUGCAGCUUCUACCCAUUUGGAGACAUAAUCCACAACAACCAGGAUAUAUAGCUUCCUAAAGGAUGGUGGAAAAGGACCCAUGAAAUCUAUUCCCCAUACAUCAAAAACCUCCACCUCCAGAAUAUUUGUCAAUGGCAUUUCAUGUAUUUGAGUUAUGUUUCCUGUUCUUUGACACAUGUCACAACAUUUAGCAAACUCAUAAACAUCUUUAAAAAUAGAAUGCCAGUAAUAACCUGAUUGUAGAACCUUGGCAGCUGUUCUGUGUCCACCAAAAUGUCCUCCAUAUGCUGCAGCAUGGCAAGAAUCCAGUAUAUGAGGAAUUUCUUCCUCUGAAGCACAUCUUCGUAUGACUUAAUCUGAACAUAACUUAUACAAAUAUGGGUCAUCCCACUGGUAGCUUCUAACAUCGUGAAGAAAUUUUUUUUUUCUGCUGGAACUUUAACUCAGGUGGUAGUAAUCCACUUACUAAGUAGUUAGCAAAAUAUGCUUACCAUGGAGGUCCUGAUUGCUACAGCAUCUGUGCUUACUGUACUACUAACAGUUGUUUAUCAGGAAAAGUUUCAGUGAUGUAUUUUUUUGUCAAUGCGCUUGUGUCUGCUUCUAGUAAUGAGAAUAUAACCACUGGUGUAGUGAUCAAAGCUUUCUUUAAUUCUCCAAAGACUUGAAGACAAUCUUUAUCAAAAUGAAAAGGCUUGUCACGUUCUAGCAAUGAGAAUAAUGGUUUAGCUACCUUGGAGAAGUCUUUUAUGAAUCUUUUGUAAAACCUAGCAUGCCCCAAAAAACUUCUAAUUCUCUUGAUUGAAGUGGGAGGUGGCAGUUUGUCUAUCACUUCUAUCUUUGCUUUAUCUACCUCAAUACCAUUCUUGGACACCUUAUGACCCAACACUAUGCCUUCUUGCACCAUGAAAUGACAUUUUUUCCAAUUGAGUACUAAGUUGGUCAUUUCACAUCUUUUAAGAACUUAUUCCAAGUUGUGUAAACAGUCAGUAUAUGUCUCUCCAAAAACUGAGAAAUCAUCCAUGAAAACUUCUAAUGUUUUCUCCACCAUAUCAGAAAAAAUAGACAUCAUACAUCUUUGAAAAGUUGCUAGAGCAUUGCACAAACCAAAAGGCAUCAUUCUGAAGGCAAAAAUUCCAUAAGGACAGGUAAAUGUAGUUUUUUCCUGAUCCUCUGGAGCUAUAGCAAUUUUGUUGUAGCCCGAAUACCCAUCUAAGAAACAAUAGUAUUGUUUUCCAGCAAGUAUGUCUAACAUUUGAUCUAUGAAUGGAAGUGGGAAGUGAUCCUUUCGAGUAGCUUUGUUGAGCUUCCUGUAAUCCAUACAUACCCUCCAUCCAGUCACUAUUCUUAUGGGAAUAAGUUCAUUAUUCUCAUUUGCUAUCACUGUUAUUCAUCGCUUCUUUGGAACACAUUGAACUGGGCUUACCCAUAAACUGUCUGAUAUCGGGUAUAUGAUUCCAGCAUCUAACCAUUUGAUAAUUUCUUUCUUCACAAAUUCCUUCAUAAUGGGGUUCAACAUUCUCUGUUGUUCCACCGAAUUACUGUAACAGUCUUCUAACAGAAUUUUGUGCAUGCAUAUGGAAGGGCUGAUCCCUAUUCCCUUUAAUGUCUGUCAUAGUCCAUCUAAUUAUUUUUUUGUAUUUCCCAAGCACAUCUAUCAGACUCUAUUCUUGACCAACAUCCAAGGUAGAUGAAAUGAUUACAGGGAGUGUGUUGUUUUGACCAAGAUAAACAUAUUUCAAAUGUGAGGGUAAUAAUUUUAAUUCAAGAAUAAGAAGUGAUUCAAUAGAUGGUAAAUGUGUUUUUACUUCCAUGUCUAAAAGAUUUAAAUGUUCAAAAAAUCUGCUAUGUCUGUUAGAUUGCUUUCCAUCCAUCCAAUCUAGUUGAUUUGCUGCAACAUCUUCUUCAAAGUUCUCAAAAUUGGCAACUUUGAUGAUCUCAUUACUACAACAUUUGUCGAUUCUGUUUGCUACAACAAAAUCUACAACACUCAGGAAAUUGCAAUCUUCUGCCUCAUCAGGGUUCUUCAUACCCUCUAAUACAUUGAAUGUGACUUGUUGAUCAUUCACCCUCAUUGUUAACUCUCCUUUCUGCACAUCCAUCAGAGUCUUCCCGAUUGCUAGAAAAGGUCUUCCAAGUAUAAUGGGUACUUCCUUAUCACCCUCAAAGUCUAAAACAAUGAAGUCCACUGGAAAGAUGAAUUUGUCAACCUUCACCAGUACAUUCUCAAUUUUUCCUUCAGGAUAUGCAUGAGAUCUGUCAGCUAAUUGCAGAGUGACUGUUGUUUGCCUGCAUUCUCCUACUCCCAACUGCUUAAAUAUAGAUAAUGGCAUCAGAUUAAUACUAGCUCCCAAAUCACAGAGUGCUCUGCCAUUUACCUAGUUCCAAUGGAACAUGGUAUUGUGAAGCUUCUUGGAUCCUUCAAUUUUUUUAAGGUAUCUUACUUUGGAGCAUGUGACUGCUUUCCUGUGUUAGAGCAACAGUUUCAAAUUCUCCUAACAUUCUCUUUCUUGCCAAGAUGUCUUUUAAAAAUUUCACAUAAUUAGGCAUUUGCUCCAAUGCUUCCACAAAAGGGAUGUUGAUGUGUAAUUGCUUUAGCACUUCCAAGAAUUUACUAAACUGCUUGUCUUAUUUUUGCUUCUGGAAUCUUUGUGGAAAAUGAGGUGGAUGUCUAAAUUACUGAGUAGAUUCAGGAGGUAUCAAUCUCUGCUCAUUUGGUUUAUUGUAAGUUGUUACCACUGGGGUUGCAAUUUCUUUAUCAUCAUUGAUUGGUUGAUUCCCUUCCAUAGUUGCCGCAGCUUGACCACUGACACCAAUAUCUUGAUGGUUGGGUUGCUGUAACAUGCUCUCCUUUUGAGGUGGUUCUUGUGAGGAAUUAAGUUUCACCCCUUUUUUAGUCACAUUAAUAGGGAUAUCAACAUUCUUUCCAGAUCUUAAGUUGAUGGCUUUGCAGUGUUCAUUUUCCUCUCUUCUUGGAUCUUCGGCAUCUUCCCAAACCAGUAAUUGCAAUGGUACACCUUCCUUAAUUCUGCAUGUAGAUGAUCUCAUGGAUUCUCUGUUGGAAGGUUGUGUGUGAAUAAAACAUGCAUGUUGUUUAAUCAAAUUAAAUCUUUCUUCGUUUGUUCCAAUUAAAUAUCUUUAUCUCUUUCCCUUUAAGAUUCCUUCAAGUUGAUUUUCUCCUAAAUGUUCUGAUUUAAUUCCUCUUUAAUCUCAUAUUGUACCUAAAAUAAAAAAAAUAUAAAAAUUAAGGUAAAAAUUAACAAAAUAAAAUAUAAUUUAAUAUAAAAUUAAGCUAAGAAAAUAUAUAAAUAAUAUAUAAAUUACUAGCACAUCAAUGAUCAACUGAUGUAGGCACAGACUGUAGAGGCUAUCAGACAGAUAGCCUGAGAAGUAGCCAUGCAAGUUAUUAAUAACUUGAGAACAGAGGUGAUAGAGCAAGCAAUCAAGGUUCUUAGGCAUUCUACUGGCAACAUAAACAUGGAGGGAGGUCAAAGGCAAAGAGUUAAUUGCGAAGAAAUAGUUCAAGGAGUCAAUCAUGAAGAACAACCUCAACAUUAUAAUUGUGAAGAGAUACAUCAUGAAAAUAAUCGAAAAGCAGUGCCUCAGGAUGAAAAUUGCAAAAGAGUACCCCAUUAUCCAAGGUGUGCAAGACGAAUGCUUGUACACAUGCGUGAGGUCUUAGCAAGUGAUGAGACUUUUAACAGAAAAACAUCUAGCACCUUACAGGAUAGGGUGGAUAAAAAUAGUGGCAAAAAUGUGAGUUAAAUAUUCUUUUCUAUAUUGGGAAGAUUUAUUAGAGUGAUAUAGUGUGUGAUGUGGUGGACAUGGAUGCUUGUCAUCUUUUAUUGUGAAGACCAUCGUAGUUUGAUGUUGAUGCAGUCCAUGUAGGAAAGGAUAAUGUAUAUGAGUUUGGGUGUAACAACAAGAAAGUUUAUUUAGUAUCUUUAACAAACAAAAAGAGGAAUUCCAAAGCUGAAGGGAAGAAUUUCCUAACUAUUGUCAAGGAUUAGGGUUGGCAAAAGUCUGGGUUCAGUCCCGGUUUGGGCCUACUCGGGAUUGACCCGCAAGAAUAACAUAGCUAUCCAGACUCGGACUCAUGCUCGAAUUUUUCACAUGCCGGCCAAGUUAAGCUCGAUACCUCCCAAGCACAGGUUUUUUAUUUAGGCUUUCCCUACUCGCAUAUGAACUAAAUUAAAAGGGGAAGAAAGGCUUGUAAUAGAUUGUUGCAACAUCUCAACUAAUUAUUUCAAUCUACUUUGCAAAUUUUACAUAAAUAACAAAUAAAGAUUGUUUCAAUCUACCAUCUACUACCUAAAUUCAUUCAAUCUCUAACCUAAAUUCAUUUAAUCCUUAUCAAAAAUUUAAAUUCAACAUGACAAUAAUCACCAAAUAAAUCUAAAUAAAUGUAGCAUACUAACAUCCAACAUAUUACAUAAUACAUAUCAUAACUACAAUACGAAUAACCAAUAUAACAUGUGAAAAUCCUAAAAUAUCUAACAACAAAAAUAAUUUAUAAAAGAGUCUAAAAUAAUCUAAUGUAAAAUAUAUAAAUAAUAACUUCAUGUCAAGUAGCUUGACGAUUGUGCCGCAUCAUCAUCAUCUGAAAUUAUCUCCUUCCCAGCAAAAAUCUCAUCUUCUGAGACUCCACCUAAUAAUAAAAAUAACACACUAAGAUUCAAAAGCAUUUUAAGCAAAUAAAUAAUACUAUAAUAUAAUUCAAAUAAAUUUAUACCUCGAGAAGUAGAAGCCCAAAUCCAAUUUUGAGCACACAUUAAGGAUUCCAAAGUGUCAGGAAAAAAUUUAUUGUGAUGCGGACUAAAAAAUCUACCCCGGUGAUUCAGAGGCAACAAUGGAUAUAGAAAUGGCCAAAAUAUCCUUGGCCAACUCACCCAAAAUAGGAUAUUGGCAUGUGUGCAUCUUCAAAAAAGCUAAAGUAUCAAAGUUUGGAGUAGCAUCCAACAAUUCUUCAUCUAAAUAGCUAUCCAACUCUGACUUAGUCACAUUAACAUGCUUAUUUUGGCUUCGAAAUAUUUCAAACUCAUCUAUAUCCCAAUACUUAUUUGGAUUUGAAGAAGAUUUUGAAUGAACAUUUUCCAAUCCAACAUCGUGCCAACCACUCAAAACCAUGGCUUCAAUUCAUAGUCUUUCACUAAAUCAUGACAAAGCUUACGUGCAUGCUUAAUAUGCUCAUUUGUUGUAUCAAUACGAAUCUUUGCGAAAUAAAAAAUAAUCAACAGCAUCUUAUAUCUUGGGUCAAGUACUACAUCUACAAAUAACAUGAGAUUAAUUUCAUUCCAAUAUUUUUCAAAUUUGUCAGCCAUUUUAUUAACCAUAAUUCUGAUAGCUAGGUUAUCAGAGGUGCGCCACCCAUUAAUUGACAUUUUCAUUUUACAUAUCAACUGAAAGAACAAAUCAGUAGUGGGGUAUUUUGAACCCCAAAAACAUCUUCAUUAACAUGUAAAAUGAUUUCAAAUGCUCCACCAUUGUGGCUGUCAAAUCCCACUCGCUAUCACUUGACAAGCUCUUAUAUUAAGGCUCAUGAUGUUGCAACCGAGAAAAAAUACUUCUAUACAUCAAUGCUACAUCAAGCAUAGCAUAAGUAGAGUUCCAACGAGUUGGACAAUCUAAGUUCAAAUUUUUUUUCAAAUAAUUUGCAAUUGCCUAACAUAGCUCAAAUGUUUCAAAUCUUUUUGGUGUUUGUGUCUAGUAACUCACACUCUCCCUAAUCUUUCAAACCCUAUUUUCUAUAAAUUUUAAUCAAUCCCACACAACCAAAUUCAAUACAUGAGAAGUAAAUCCCAUAUGAAAAAAAUUUACCAUUAGAAAUUAAGGUACUAGUAUCAAACCUUAACAACAAUUUCUCCACCAUCACAUCAUUAGUGUUACAAUUAUCCAAUGUCACUGAAGAUAGCUUUCUAUCCACGUUCCAAUCCAGUAGACAUAGAACUAACUCAUUAGAAAGGACAUAAGUAGUAUGGGGGCUCGGAACAUAGAUAAACCUAUCAAGUAUUUAACUGUUAGUAUUAAAUACACUAACUUAAAGUAUUAUAAAAAUUUAAACUUGAAAAGAGAUCAAAUAUAAGUAAUAAAAAGGUUAAAAGAGAAAUUAAGCAGAUAAAAAUUUAUAGACAAAUUACCUUAAGAUUUGACUAUGCAAUUUCCAGGAGUUCUCAAUUAAAUGUGUUCUGACAACCAUGUAUCCUUUUUUCUGAUUACUAGUUGUCCAUAAAUCCGUAGUAACAACCACUCUACUAUGAUUUUUCUCUAGCAAAUUCAAAGUCUUAACCUUCUCAAUAUGAUACAAUUUCAAAAUUUCAUUCUUCAAAGUAUUUAUGCUCAUUGGCUUAACCACAGGGUUGGCAUGUGCCAUCAUUUCUCUAAAGCCUUUAUAUUCCACGAAUCUAAAUGGAAGCUCAUGCAUUAUCACCAUUCUUGCAAUCAAACUCUAAAAAAUAUUUUGAUCAAAGUUGCUGUUGGCAAUGUCACAAGUUCGAUAUACUCUUUUGAUCUCUUUGAGACUUCCCUAAAGUUCUUGCUCUAUUUUCGGUUGAUGCUUCAAAAAAUAAGAUUCCACGUGUUUAUUUAAACUUUUAGUCCCUGAUUUGUAUUUGGCUCCUAAAAUUGCAUUACAUUGUAUGCACAUUGCCUUAUGUUCUCUAUUAACAAUUACUUUUGUAAAGUGCUCCCAAGCUUUAGAGACUUUCCUCUUAUUUCAAGUGCUUUUCACCACUUUCUUUCCUUUCUUAUCAUUCACGUUUGACAUCAAAAUUUCCUCAACCUUGUUAUCAGAGAUAUCUUCAACAUUAUGGGAUAAAUUUGGAGCAUUUGAUGAAUUGAUUUCUACGUUGUCUGACAUUGUACUGCUGUUUAUUAUAGAAAAUAAUAAAUAAUAAAAAAUUAUCAUACAAAUUAUAUAAUUAUAAAUAUUAUGUAACAAAUUAACUUAAAAGGAACCUAAAUGCUAAAUUCAGCUCCUAUUAAUAAAAAAUUAUCAUACAAAUUACAUAAUUAUAUAUAUUAUGUAACAAAUUAACUUAGAGCAACCUAAAUGCUAAAUUCAGCUCUUAUUAAUAAACAAUAAUCAUACAAAUUACAUAAUUAUAAAUAUUAUGUAACAAAUUAACUUAAAGCAACCUAAAUCUAAAUUCAGCUUCUAUUAAUAAAAAAUAAUAAUACAAAUUACAUAAUUAUAAAUAUUAUAUAACAAAUUAGCUUAAAAGCAACAUAAAUGUUAAAUUCAUCUCUUGUUAAUUAAAAAUAAUCAUAAAAGCAUAGCAUCCAAGCAAAACCUUAAGCAUAUAUUGUAUAUAAAGGUGGCCAACGGGCUGUUCCAGCAUCAAACUAAGGCCCGUGAGGGCCCACGGGCUGGCAUGACAUGACCCACCAACUUUGGUGGGCUGUGCGGUGCAGUGCCUAAUUUUUUUGUUUAAGCCCGGCACAAGCCCACGCGUGCCGUGGGUCGUGCCCAAAAAAGCCCAUCAAUUUUUUUUUUUACUUAAAGCCCACAUGCUCUUUUAAGCCCACGUGCUUUUUUUAAGUUCACGUGCCUAGCGUGCUUUUUCAAGCCCAUCAGCCCAUCUAAUAAUAAUAAUAAUAAUAAUAAUUUUUAUUAACUAAUAAGAGGCAAAUAACAUUCUAUUAUCAGUUUAUCACAAUUUUGCAACCUUAUAUUUAAAUAUUUAAUUUCACGAUUAUCAAUUCAAUUAGAGCACAACAAAAUUAUUUGAACUGCAGUGAAACAAAUUCCACCUAAUUUUAUUUGAACUAUUAAUAUUAUAAUUGGACUUGAACUUCAUUGAAUGAAAAUGUAACUUUUAAUUUACCAUAAAAAAUAAAAAAAUAUUUCCUUCAUAAUUUUAUUCUUUGUGUAUAAAUAUGAAAAAUAUCUUAUUCACAAAUCACAAGUAAAAAAUAUCUCCGUUUACUAAGUUAUGAUUUCAUAAAUGAAAUAUUAAUUGUCAUAAAAUUUUGAUAUAUCAUUUAUAAAAUCGUGAUAUUUAAAAUUUUAUUUAUUAAAAUUAUAAUAUUUAUUUAUUCAUUUAAUAAAUGAUAAACAUAAAACAAUUAUAAUUUUUUUAAAACUGAGACUUAAAUUAAUUUAAUAAAAUAUAUUAAAAAUUGUAAUUUUAAAAUAUUUGUAAUUUCAUAACAUUUUAUUUUGUAAAAUCAUGAUAAUUAAAAAAUAUUAUUUUGAUAUACUUUGACUCACAUGCUAUUGAUGGCCCACGGGCCGCGUGCUAGCCAACCAAUAAAGCGUGCUUUUUAUGUGCCUUUUCACGGGCCGUGCUUUUAAAGCCCACGUGCUUAAAACUCUAAGCCUAGCCUGGCCCACGUGCGUGUCGUGUUGUGCUAUGUGCCGCCCGGCCUGUUGGCCAACUUUAAUUGUAUAACACCUAAUAAUAAUAAUAAUAUUAAAUUCAUAAUUUUUUUUUCAAAAAAGCUAAAAAAAAUCAAUACCUCGUGGUUACGAUGGCGGAGCUACCAUUGAGAAGGUGACGAAAUGAUAGAGUGAGACUAAUCAAGAUGGCUGACACUAAUGAGCGGUGGUUGCCGUUGAUAAGUUGACAAACAAUGGAGAUAGUGGUUGUGAUGACUGUGCUUUAUGAGAAGUGAGAAUAACUGACCGAGGAAGGUUCCUGGAGGCAAAGUGCAGCGGCCAGUGGUGGCUGUUGCUUUAUGGCUUUGAGUGUUAGAGUGACGGAGGUCAGGAUGUGCCGAGGUGGACAACGAAGUAUUUCAGUGUGUAAGUGUGUUUAGUUACGAUUUAGGGUUGAUUGUUUGGUUUAGGAUUUAGGCAAAAUGUUUCUUUGAUUUUUAUAUUUUCUAUUUUUUUAACUUAAUAAAAAAUUCUUGUACGAUCUAAGUUCUGGGUUUUUGGUCUGUGACCAGACCCAUGCCCGAAAACAUCUAGGUAUUGAUUUUCAAUACCUAAAUCCACUUUUUUAAUACAUUCGCCAGGUCUGGGCUAGAUUUGGUCUGAGUGGGCAUUUUUACUAACUAUAUCAAGGAUAAUCUGGAGGAAGGUUGUGAUGUUUGAAGAAGCUGGAAAAAGAGGAGGAAUUCGAGGUGAAGACUAUUCUUGACAAAGUGCAGUUAUUAUUAACUGAGUUUGCUGAUGUUACACCUUCCAACCAAAUAGCUUAUCACCUACGCAAGAUAUACAUCAUCGUAUAGACUUGAUUCUUGGUGUGAUUUACCAAUCUGCCUCAUUAUCAUAUAAGUAUGCAAUUUUGCAAGAAUAAGUUGAUGAGUUAUUGUGAAAAUGGUUUAUGCGUGAGAGUAUGAGCCCAUGUGCUAUACCAACUUUGUUGGCGCCAAGAAGUAUGAGAGCUAGUUUAUGUGUAUGGACAUCAAGCAGAUUAAUCAGAUUAUUAUGAAGUAUCAAUUUCAUAUUAUUUCAUUUUGGGAUUUAUUAGAUUAAAUAGAUGUUCUUAGAUUUUCUUGAAGAUAGGUCUGCAUAGUGGAUAUCAUCAAAUUAAAUUAGGCCUAAAAAUGAGUGAAAGAUGUUGAGUGUUAGAAAAUACAUAUUUAUAAAGGAGAAAACCAUCAUUUUACAUUUCAAGUCUUACUAACAACUCUUACUUUUAUGUAUUUAACCUUCUUGUGAUGUAAUUACGCGUGUGUUAUUUUAAUUAAGUAUUUUAUGUAUUUUAGGGGCAUUAUAGUCAUUUCACAAUAAAGGAGAGAUCACUGCUGUACCGUACAUCCGCCUUGGCCGUACAGCAGAGGGUUUUCAAUUUGUUAGAAAAACUUUUUGACCUAAAAGUUUAAAUUGAUAAGUAAUAGUCCAAUAGUAGUAUUAAAACAAAUUUUCAUAAGUCUUCCUAUUUGAAACAUGAAUUAAGAAUUGAGCCAGAAGAUCAUAGAUGGGUAAAAAAUGUUUGAACUAAAAAAUAAAGAAAUAAACAAAUUCGAAAGAGUUUGUGCAUAAUACGAAUCAAACUUGGGGCAUUGGUUUUGAUACCAUGUUAAAAAACUGCUUGACUUAAAAAAAAAAUUAAUAUGUAAGAGCUCUACAUCGGUAUGAGAGAUGAGAGUGUAGCAAGACAUAUACCUUGGCAUUCUUUGGUUGCAAUUACGGCCAAAAUGGUUAUACGCAAUAGUCAUCUUCAUGUUCUUAUCUCUUAUGUAUCCAUCAUCAUGUCCAAGAAGCUUGAUCUUGUCUUGGUUUCUAAACCAGUUGUUUGAGAUGGUGACAUCUGUCGAGCCACGUGUUACGUCGAUCAGCCCAUUCUGGCAUUUAUACAGUGUGUUGUGAUCUAUCCAAACCCUGCUGUACCGUACAAUCCGCCUUGGCCGUACAGCAGUUGUUGUUAUUAUCAUGUCGGGAAAAAUUUUAGUCCCAUCAAUCAUUCUAAAAGUUUUGUAGUUCAAUAAAAGUAUUUUUAAAUCUCAAAUAAAAUCUAAGCCGUCAAAACCUUUUUCUCCCUCUCUUUAUUUUGCAGGAAAGAAAAAAGACCAUCAAUUCUAUUUUCAUACUAAUAAUAAAACGACAAAUAGGUUUCUAAUUGUCUAAAUCUCUUUAGUGUCGGUUUGAGUUGGCUUAAUUAAGUUUUUUAUUUUUAUUUUUAGAAUUAAAAAAGGUCUUUUAGGAUUGUUUGGGUGUCAAAUCAAAAAUUAUUUUUUUUAAUUUAAAAGGUAUUUUGGGAGAAGGCAUGAUUUCUAAGUUUUUCCAAAAGACCUUUUGAGAAGCUAUUUUCUCAUUUAUUACAUUUUUCAUAAUUUAUAAACUAACCUUAAAUUAACAAAGGAACAAAAAAAUAUUACAUCCAUAUCCAAACUCUUAAACUCUAUUUCUUACGUAUAUUUUCUUGUUUUGCCUCUUCAUUGUUCAACUAAAAAAAAAAACAACAACAAUAGAAGGAGCACAAUCACCACACCAAUCUUCUUUCAAGUGAGAUUUUUUUUUUUUGUAAUCUCAUACUUUGAUUGGCAUCUUAUUUUUAAUUUUUCUAGAUGAUGAAGAAUCAUCAAUUAACAUUAAUGUUGAUGAAAAUGAAUCAAGUAAAAUGGGAGUGGUUCGUGAAAAUAUUGCUAGGGAACUUAUGCUUAGAGAAACUUAAUUUAGUUAUUUUUGUUCUUCAUUUUUUAUAAAGAAAAACGGCACUUUAAUUUGUAAAAGUUUAACUAGAUUGAUCAAAUAAUUAUUUUAUUUGUCAUUGAUUUUUAAAUUUGAUAAGUAUUUGUUAGACUCAAAUAUUUAAGGGUAUUAAUGACUUUAUAAUGAUUAAAAGGUCUUUUUUAAAUGGUCAUCCAAACACUUUAAAAAGAGCUUCUAAUUAAAACAAAAAAAAAAGAUCUUUUACUAUGGUCAUCCAAACAACAAAAAUAAACUAGAGCUUUUACUUAUCUUUUACUUUUAAGUAGAAGCAAAAGCAAAAGCUAACCCAAACAGACCCUUAAUGUGAAAUUUUAUAUUUUUUAUUUUAUGAGAAUAUAAUUUUAUCUCACUUUAUUAAUUUUUGUGGGACUCCUGUCUCUUUUUUAAGUUAUUUUUAUUCCUACUUUGUUAAUAAUAUUUGUGAGAGAUAUUUUUCUAGUUUUAAGUGUUUUGUGGAUCGAUCGAAAUUGAAGUCUCCCUAUUUUCUAUCAAAAUUAAUGUUUUUGUUACUCAAACUUCACUUGGACAAUUAUCUUCCUUUUAGUUGGAGCUGUGUUUAAUUUAUGGAAUGCACCUUUUUGUUGUAAAUCAAUGACGACUUUGCUCACCUAUUAGCCAUUUUUUCCAUCUAUUUUUAUGUGAUAUCCUGUACAAGUUAAGAAAUCUUUGUUAUCAAACAAUAGCCAAAACAUAGGUUGAGUAAUUAAACAAGAUAAAGAGGGUUUUAACUUUUGUGACAUGUGAUCUAUUCUACAAGUUGCUAUUUGGACCAAGACAUGUGCCUAAAUUAGCUAUUGGCUUAUACGGGCCUUUCCGUUACCUAUUUCACAAGUUCCAAAUCAUGACUCAUAAUGGUGUAUUUACUUCGUAGAUUAAGGAAUCGGAAUCUGAAAUGAAAAUAAUUGAUUAUUCUUACCUACUAAAAUAAAAGUGAGAUUGAAAAUGAAACAUACGAGACCUAUAUAUUUUUAGGAUUAAUGAUGUUCACAUCAAGGGGUAGGGAAUCAAGUUUCAAUUUCUUAAACUUUCCAUUUUACCCUCACCCAAAUUUUAUAAUUUCUAUUUUAUCUUCAAAUAAAAUAUUAUUAUAUUGUAUCAUUUUAUUAUUAAAUAAUAGGAGUAAUAAUUUAACAAUAAUAAUACUACUAAUUAAUGAUAAAAAUUAAUAAUAAAAAUUAUUAUUAUUAUUAUAACUAAUAAUAUUAAUAUUAAUUAAUUAAUAAUAAUAGUAAUGAUAAUUUUAAAAAUAAUAAUAAUCAUUAUUACUAUUAAUGUUAAAAUUAUGAUUAUAAUUAUUAUUUUUCAUUAUCAUCAUCAUCAUCACUAUAAUAAUAAUAAUAUAAUUAAUUAAUUAAUGAUAAAAAAUUAAUAACAAUAGUAAUAAUUUUUAAUAAUAGUAGUAUUAUAAUUAACUAGUGGUGUUGGUGGUGAUGAUAAUUAUAAUACUAUUAAUUAAUGAUAAUAAAAUUAAUAAUAAUAAUUUUAACUAACUAUAUUAAUAUUAAUUAAUUAAUAAUAAUAGUAAUAAUAAUUCUAACAAUAAUUAUAAUUAUUAGUUUCAUUAUCAUCAUCGACGUUGUCGUCAUUAUUAUUAUUAUUAUUAUUAACAAUAAUUAUUUUGAAUAAUAAUAAUCAUCAAAAUUAUUAUAACAAAGAACGACAAAAAUUAAAUAAGGUCAUUUUAAUAACUUGCAACAACUCAUUACUAUUUCAAGACAAAAUAAACACAUCAAUGGUAAUAUAGCUCAUUCCGAUUAUGAUUCAUAUAGUUAAGUAAAUAAUUUAUUAUGAUUCUCAUUCUCGAUUCUGAUUCCCUUGUAUUUCAAUUCCAACUCAUUCUGAUUACCGUUGUAGUAAACACAUGAUAAUAGUAAUGCUAACAUAAUUGAUUGGGUCUAUAAAUAUAAAAACAUGCAUUUUGUCAUUUUGUCAGAUAAGGUCAAGGGCUAGUUAUUGGGUCUAAUAUCGAUUUUUAAGUAACAACAAAAUUUAACUAAAACUUGAGAACAAGAUAAAAAUCUUAAGAAUCAAAAUGAAAAAUUUAGUAAUCAUUGGAUUACAAUUUAUCACUUUAUUUUCCAGUCCAACAUCCUUUUUCAUAAUGUAAGAGUAUUAACGAUAUGCCAAUGAAGCCUACUACUAGUCUAAUGUUUGUAUUUAGCUUAGGAAUAGAAAAUAAUUGGUGUUAAAUCUCAAGGUUUCACCGAGUAGUUUUUAAAUAAUUUUUAAAUUAUAAAAUUCAAUUUAAUAUGAAUAUGUUUACAAAUAAAUUGAUGGCCAUAUCUAAUGGAAUCCAUUAGCCAAUCAGAUAGAUGUUCAGUUAAUUAUUAUCACAUUCGAUCUUAAUCAUUACAGUUGAUUUUGUAAAGACUACGUGUGAUAAUAUUCAAAGUUAUUUAAAUGAGUUUAAAGUUUGUGGAAAAUGGUCUGUUUGAAUACCCGUAAGGGUAUUAGAAGCUAAUUCUGAAACCUUGGGGGUAUUAUCGAAUUUAGGCUAAACCUCAAUGGUUGCCAUAAAAUAUUACCCAAAAAUUACAAACCCGCUCGGCUAGAAAUCAAAAAGUCAAAAAAACGAAACCGCUCUGGAAAAAUAAAAAUAAAACCUUAAUAUCAUCGAAUCAAAAACCCUAAAAGCUAAAACCCUUGAUUUAAAAAUUUUAACAAAUAAAUAAAAAGAACCCUAAAACCCUUUCUUGUAAAACCCUCUUGCUCUUUUGAAUUUGGGUGUAAAAUAAGUAAAUGGGUGGGAUUUUGAUUUGAAGAAAGGAUGCUGAAGAUUGUAAGAACCUCUCCUGCUCGUCGGUUUCUUCUUAAUAGAAAUAGAAUCGGUAAAGAAAACUGCAACCACUCUCUCUCUCUGUGUUUGAGUUUGUUUAGAUAUGAAGGUUUUUUGAUGCUUUUGUAUUUUUAUUACUAAGCUGUCAACUGAACAUUUUCUUGCCUUUUCUUUUUCUUUUUUUAACUAGCAUUUGCUGGAAAUGAUGAAGUAAAUAUUGUGAUUUUGGGAUGUUUUUUAGUGUAUUAGAUCAAUAUUAAAGAAAGGGAAAACUAACUGAUGAUUGACCAUGAACAAUAUUGGUGGAAGAAGCCAUCUUAUUUUGCUUAUUGGUAAAAAAUUAGGGGAACUUUCGAUUCUAAGCGGAACAAUGCAUGUGGUAAGUAUGUAAAGAAGUAUGAUUGGAAACGUGAGGCGUAAAAUGAUUAAAGCUAUGACUUGUUGGAAAGAGUCGCACAAAGAUAAAAUGUUAGUCACAGCAACCUAUCUUAGGAAAUGAUUAUACAUGUGUGUUUUCGUACAUGUUUAAGAAUAUAUUUAUGUGCUUGUGAAAAAAUUAUAUAGAGUGAAAAGCCUACAAAGAUUUGCUGAUCCGUCAGUGCAUGAAGUAAUGAAGUCUGAUAGCAAAUGCAAAUGUAGUCUCAUCGGUAAUGUCAGACAUGGCAACUUCCUGGAUUUGGCAUAAGGAAAUGAAUAGACAUGUAUUUCUGUGUGCCUGUGAAAAAUAAAUGUAGCAUAUAAAAACUUAUAGAUAGUGAAAAGGGCUGAAAAAGGUUGCAUUUAAAACUUUCGUUGGAAGUUGCUCAUGAAGGAUUUUAAUAAAUGAAGCUUAGCUUUUCGUAAGGGUCGAUCUGACUAGCAUACAUGGUGAUAUAGCCAUCUGGGUUCAGCUCAGCUGGCCGUGAGUGCACUUUGCACCCACUGUUACCUGAGAUCAAGUCAUAAUAGAGAGUAAGAGUUGGUGUUUAGUUGGUCAAGUUUCUCAUACCCAUCCGUUUUUCCUUUUAAAUCUUUAGUAUUCAUUUGUUGGGUUUCUAGUUGAUGCAAUGUAUCACGUCUUUCUUUUUAGUUUUGCAUUUUCCUUAUGUCUGAAUUUUCUCAAAUUAUUUGCAACCUUGGUGCUUGACAGCUCUCACUGGGUUAAACAAUGUUGUAAAUGGAUCAAAUAUUCAGUGGUGUGGAAAGUCAUAUGCUGCCUCUGUUCCUUCUGACGCACCGAAAUCCCAGAGAGGUCGGAGGCUUCCAAGAGAUGAACGAAAAGCUAUGGUGGAAUCUUUUGUAAACAAGUAUUUGUUUUUUUUAAUUUAUUUUUUUAUAUCUUCUUUAAACAGCUACAUCAAGCUGUAUUCACACCAUGAUUAUUUUUUAGAUUGACUCUUCUUGAGGGUAUAAUUGUUAGAUUUUUUUCCCAAUAAGAGGGUGUAAUUAUUAUACGAACACAAGGAAAUUGUGUUUUGCUUUUAAUGAAUGUGCCAAUUUUGAAAAGGUAAAUAGAGCAUUCGGAAUGAAUGAAUUUAAAGCUUGGCUUUUUGAGGAAGUAUACGGCAAGGAGAUAUCAUAGCGGACUAUGAUUUAUUUAUUAUUUAUGUUUUAAAAGGACUGUGAUUAUCAAAAAGAAGGUGAAAAUAGAUUUUUUUUUUGUACUUCAACUUCAUCUUGGCAGAGAUUGUAAUUAUCUUAAAGCAUUCAAAAAUUAGGUCUUUGAUUCAUUGGAUGUCCUGGUUAAUCUAUAGGUAUCCUGUUACCAAGUAUUUGUAUCUUAUGUUCUUUUUCCAAUUUAAACUUUAGUAAUCUCAUCUAACUGUGUGAUUGCUUUUGGAUGGGGAAAAGAAAGAGAGAACAGAUUAAUAGCCUUUUAUGCCUUGUACCUUGGGGAAGAUCAAUGUGGAGGAGAAAGGGGGAAGAUGGAAGUUACUUUGUUCAGCAGAUAAAAAAUUAUUAUCACUCUGUGGUUUUAUGAAGCUACUGUUCCAUAGAAGUCAAGUAACACCAUCCCUGGAUCAAUACACCAACAGUGAAGAAGCUAUAACAAAAUUAUGAUUUGUCGCUUGGGAAACUUUCUGAAAUGGGAAAUUUUUACAGUGUUUAGGAAGACAAAACUAGUAAAUUCCAUUGAUUUUUCUUUCUUCACAUUUUGUUGGAUCUUGCCAGUACGAUAGAUUUUGUGUUGUGUUUUCAGGUUGCUGGUAGCCUGAGAAGUAUGGUCCUUAAGUUUGUUUAGAAACAUAUCUUAUGUUCUCUGUUUUAUAUCAUCAUCUUAUUGCUAUUGUUUGUUGUUGGUGAUAAAGAAUAAUACAAAAAUCAAAGUUUUUGUGUUGAAUCUUACCAUUAAUGCAAUGUUGUACAGGUAUAGAGUAACACAUGAUGGGAAAUUCCCAACUGCAUCUGAUGUCUGCAAGAAUGUGGGUGGUUCUUACUAUGUUGUGAAGAUCAUUCUCCAGGAAGUGGUGCACAAAUGUAAAUCAUCAUCUACUGAUGGGACUGAAAAUUUAGUAGGAGAUGGACUACUUAAGGAGCACGAAGUAUGCAUAGAUGGGGGAACUCAAAAUGUGGUUGAUAAAGUAGCUGCUAAUAAUGUGGAGAUUGGUGAUGUCAGUGAAAAGCAUCUAGAAGUAGAGGGUGGCCCAUUCACUUCCUCUGUAGCUGAAAGGAACAUCUUUGAAGAGGUUGAAAAUCCCACAGCUCCAGUACGUAUUUGACAUCUUUCACCUUUUGUUUGGUUGUUUGCAUUUUCCUUUUUUGGGUGGAAAUGGUAGUUCCUCUGUCAAAACAUAAUUAGAUGAAUCAGAAAUUUUAAAGCCUUUUAGGGUUUAUCAACUGAAUUGUGGUUCAUGCCCAUGGAGGUUGGAAGGUUGAUUGUAGGAAUUCCUCUGCGGUUGCUGCUGUACCGUACAUCCGCCUUGGCCGUACAGCAGUAAACUAAAAAUAUUUUAAAUGCAUGUAUUUUACUUUUCAAACUCACAACAACUACAACAACACAAUUUACCAAGCACUGAGUUACUUUUCUAAUCAGUAGUUUAUUUCAUUUGCACAGUAGAAGAAAAUUAUUUCAUUAACUACUGCAAUCUAAAUUAGCCCUUAAUUGAGUAACAAAAAAUUUAAAGAGAUCAUAACAUUUUCAAACUAUAAAUUUGAAGCUAAUCCCGAGUUUCAAUUAAAAUCUUUAUGUUUUUCAAAGAGUUUUUUUUUUUUUUUUACAAUUUUGCACUUAGUCAAUGGUAAAUCUUUUCCCUUCUCGUAUGGAUAUAAGUUGAAGUUUCAUGUCAGCAUUAAUUUUAUAAUAUUAAAAAGAAAAAUUGCUUGGUAACCACUUGUUUAAAUUAAAAAAAAAACGCAUGUUUAUAUUAGUUGAUUUAUUUUUAUGUAUUAAAGAAUAAAUUCACGCUAUUUUGAGUUUAAAUAUUCUGACUAGAUGUCUCAGUUUAUUUAAGGGGGUUAUCUUAGAUUUUUUUUUUUAUUGGAAAUAUCACUGUCAUGUAAUAUUAAAAACAAGAAUCCAAUUUUGAAUUUUAAGGAAUCAAACAUAAGCCGAUUGAAAAAUAAACAUCUUUGCGAUUUCUAUCCUCAUUUGAUUAUUUCUACAUGACGAACACGUGCACCGCACGAGUAGAGGAGCAUUUCACAUUUUUUUUAUUCAUUCCUUUUUAUGAAAAAGUAUUUAGCUAUAUAAAACCCUUAAAAAAAAAAAAGUAUGACGGAAGUGAAAAGGAGGAAAGGGUUUUAACUUUCAAUCGUUCUACAGUGGCUGAAGCUCUGCGCAUACGAGCUCUCUGUCUCUCUUACUGUAAGCUUUCUUCUUCUGUUUGUUCUUUGCAUAUUUUCUAUUUGCAUUUUAGGGUUUUAAUUUUAUUCAGCUUAUACUUGAUUUUCAUCAGUAAUUUCAUGACAUUAUUAUGUACAAAUUUAGUUAUUUUGGUGGUUUAUUUUGCAUUCUGAUUGCUGGUGGUAAAUGGGUUUUUAGGCUUUGUUCUAUUCUAUUAAUCUUUCGAGAUUUACGCUUCUAGGGUUUUAUGUUGUUGGUUUUCUUGGUCUUAUUUUAUUUAAUUUUUUAAAAUCUAAAUAACAAUGUUAUUGAGUUAUGAUUAAUAUUCUUCUCUUUUUGGCCUCUCUGUAACGUGAUUGGUGCUUUCUUUGACCAAAUAGUCAUGGUGGGUCAUUUUAUUUUUGUUAAGGAUGCUAGAUAACUUUGUUAAAUUGACCAUAUUUCUAUUCCAUUCUAUCUUGCAUAGCCGCUAAAGAUGCUAUACGUUGAGUAUUUAUUAUCUAUACUGUUGUCAAUGUCAUAUAUCUAAUUUGUGUUUUCGCUUUCUCAUGAAAUCAAACUUGCUUUGCAGAAUUUUUGUUUGCUACCAGUCUUGUGAAGGAUUUUUCAAUUAAGGGGUUCUUAAGUUGCAAAAUGUCAGGCGGCCCUGGGCUUGAGUCUCUUGUAGAACGUAUGUGUUCAUUAUUUUCCCAUUUUAUCACCAAUGUCUUUCAUGUGUCAUUUUUGUAUGCAAUAGAACAAGGUGUCUAAGAGUCAAGCUUUUGGAAUUUUGCUGAUCCGAUUUUCUUUCACAGCUUAAAAGCAACUCUUUUUUUAUGUUUUUUUGUUUGGGGGGAGGGGCGGGGGGAAUUUUCUAAUUGUAACACUCCUUUAUUCUGUUUAUCUUCAUUGAAAGUAUAUUAUAGACCUAAAUCACUGUCUAGAUUUGAGGGGAAGUGUAAAAUAAUACCUAAGGUAUGGUUAACAUACUUGAGGGAACAUUAAUUUACUUUAAUAGAAUAGAAAGAGACAUGAUAAAAGGUGUUAAUGAAGACAUUUGCUCAUGAGUCUAGGCACAUAAAGCAGGAGUUUGUUUGCUUUGCUUGCAAGCAGUAAGGCUGACUAGGCUUUAAUAAGUCUUAAAAACUAGUUUCCUGGAGUUGGUUUUGAGGCUCUCAAAAUAUUUUAAAAUCUCCUUUUUCAUUUUUUUUUUCCCAACUUUAACUUUUGUUGGGGGGAAGAAAUUGGAACUGUACGUGUAGUUGUUGACGCUUUGUCCUGCACUUUUCAGCAUCUGUUGGGGCAUAAUUUUCUUCUCAUCUGUAAUUCUUGAUUGUUUUCCUUUUUCUGCAGAGCAAAUAUCAGUUAUCACAAAUGACGGACGUAACAUAGUGGUAUGUUACAACACUAGCCCCGUAAAUCUACAUGAUCUUUUAGAAUAUUAGUUCAGUGAUCUACAUUGUCUUUAUCAUAUAAUUCCUAAGGUGCAUUUUCUAUAAUAAAUGUAGGGAGUCUUGAAAGGAUUUGACCAGGCUACAAAUAUAAUCCUUGAUGAAUCUCAUGAGCGUGUUUACUCGACUAAGGUAUUUAUCCUCAUCUCAAUGAGCUACUUUGCAAUUCGCUUGCUGCCUUAGUAAUUGGAGGUAAAAUGGGUUUAAAGUUCAGUCGGUAUCCUUAAGAAAACCAAAUGAAGCAUUACUUGUGUUGAAUCUGGCUGAUUUUGUUAUUGCAGGAAGGUGUUCAGCAACUUGUGUUGGGAUUGUACAUAAUAAGGGGUGACAACAUGUAAUGCAAUUUUCUUAUUGUCAUUACUUUAUUAUAGCACUUAUACUUGUUACCUAAUCUGUCAUUAUGUUAAUAAAAGAAUGAUGAAUUGAUUCUUUUGAUUAUUGCAGAAGCAUCGUUGGGGAAGUUGAUGAAGAGCUGGAUUCUCAUCUUGACUUGUCCAAUUUGAGAGCUCAUCCCCUCAAACCAGUGAUCCAUUAAUGGACUGUUAAAAGAUGUAGAGCUGUUGUGGACUCAAUGAAGGAUUAGAACAAAAACUGAUAAAUUUUAUGCAUUAGAUGUAUUUAUUACUUCUGAAGUCUUUGUUUUGAUGUUACUGAAAUUUGUAUAUUAUUGAUGUUAAAGGACCAGUUACCGAACGUUGGGGCAAGAUUGAUAUCAGCUAAAUCAUAGUCGUCUGCGCUUAUUCAUAUUUUUAAGCAACGCAGAUUGCAUGAAGCAUAAGGUAAACCACAUUAUAUGUGAAUAUUUGUUAACAGCAACAGUUAGGAUCAUUCCUAAAAGGAUUGCAAAACCGAACCAGGGAAACAAAAAAAGGUGGAAAUCAUAACCAGUGAUUCUAUUUCAUAUAUGUACUUAAUGUACAAAAAGGCAAUCUGCACGUAAUGUUUUGGUGUUGAAAAUGAAACACAGAAGUCUUCUGAAGUCAAAUCAGUAGCUAUAGCAAGCAUUUGUUGACAAGAAAACAGAACCCCAGCUUUCCGCGGCAAAAAAAUUCAAUAAAUGAAAUUCUCAAGGUUUAGUUGAUGUAGAAGAAACAGAUUCCCGGCUUUCUUGAGGCAAAAUUUACGUCACAAAAAUUCUCAAGAUUUUGUCGCCAUGAGCCUGCUCUUCAAACCAAAAUCUGGAUGCAAAACAGUAUAUUGACAUGGGAAACAAGCAGUGGAGCAAAACUAUCGAUGGACUUUGACCAAGUCGACAUCAAAUUCCAGCCAUGAGUAAGGUGGAAUAUUCUUACUAUCAUCUCCUCCACUUCCGUAACUACAUUAGAAAUAAACAUGUCAAGAAAGGAAUUGGCUUUGAAAGAAAAUCAAUAAGGAAAAGAGAUUCAAUCACAUACCCUAGAGAGGGAGGGAUGAGUAGCCUUCUCUUUUCACCAACAUGCAUACCUGAUAAUACCAAUACAUGCAUAAAAAAGUGCAACAAAGAGUUACAAUAGAGAUAAGGUAACUAGUAAAUAACUAAGAAUAGCUGCCUUCAAUCAUGUUAAAGGAGAAACAAAAAAAUGAGUCUAAAUGAUUAUACCUUCAAGUCCGACAUUCAAGCCCUCUAUAACUUCUUUUCCACCUGUUAUUACCGACAUGAUCAAAUGGAUAAGACAUAAGAUUUGAAGAAACAAAAAAAAUUAAUACACCAUAUCAUUGCAAUCCAACAUUUCAUUUUAACAAGAUAUCACCUAAGUGGAACUUUAAGGGGGUGCUCCCAAGAUUUGAGUCAAAUACUUGUCCAUUUUCCUUUAACUUUCCAGUAUAAAGGACACUGAUCUGCAAUCAAAGAGAAGACCUUUCAAUCAACAAAAAUUCUUUAACAUCGUCUACAGUCUGCUAUAGCAGAAUGUUCAAGAAAAGGGAAUGAAUCGACAGAUAAGAUGGAACUCUAGAUGAGAAUGAAUAAAAAAACAAUACAAAACUCAUAACUCUUCCAUCAUGUCAUAAAAAAACAAUACAAAACUCAUAACUCUUCCAUCAUGUCAUAAAAAAACAAUACAAAACUCAUAACUCUUCCAUCAUGUCAUAAAAAAACAAUACAAAACUCAUAACUCUUCCAUCAUGUCAUAAAAAAACAAUACAAAACUCAUAACUCUUCCAUCAUGUCAUAAAAAAACAAUACAAAACUCAUAACUCUUCCAUCAUGUCAUAAAAAAACAAUACAAAACUCAUAACUCUUCCAUCAUGUCAUAAAAAAACAAUACAAAACUCAUAACUCUUCCAUCAUGUCAUAAAAAAACAAUACAAAACUCAUAACUCUUCCAUCAUGUCAUAAAAAAACAAUACAAAACUCAUAACUCUUCCAUCAUGUCAUAAAAAAACAAUACAAAACUCAUAACUCUUCCAUCAUGUCAUCUGGUAAGAUGAGCUCGGAUGAAAGCCCAAAACAUUUUGCCCACCCCCUUAGCUGGACACAGAUUCAAGAGAACUUGCCUUUUUCCCGGGUGCAGCUACCUUGCCAUCUGGUUUCCCUGUUCCUAGAUUCUGAAUGACUAAUCCAUUAGGCAAGGUCCUAAGCUGAGAUAACUUGCCUUCAGCACUGCUGUUCUCAGUGACCAUAACAGAUCCGCUCAUUGCAUCCAUUGAUAAUGGAUGUGUUUCCAUGUUCGAAUCCUUCCCAUCCUCUUCGGUUCUUCUCUUCUUCUUCUUUUUCUUCUUCUCAGGUUGAAGUUCAGCAACAGAUUGAUCAACAUCAUUCCCAGGAAUCCUGCAUUUAGUGUAUAGAGAAAAUUAAAAUACUAAACUAGCCAGAAUAUAUGCCCUUUGCAUUGAAGGUAGCAAGCACAUCCGUUGCAAUUUAAUAAACACCAUUUAUGAGACUACCUCUUUGAAUUUGUGCGUGAGAUGCGACUGCACAAGUAAAAACUAUAAUAUAAAACAUCAAAACAAACCAUGAUACUCACACAUCAGUAACUUGCUGCUCAUUUUGCUCAACUCUUCCAGGAGUAUCCUGGCCCAUCCUGUCAUGCUUCACCUCAUCAUGAAGGGCUUUAUCCCCUUUUAUAACAUUGGUACAGUCAACACUGUCAGCUUCAAGACUUUUCUGUUGCUCUUUUCUUUUCCUCUUCUUUGGCUUGGCAUUAUUUACAGAACCCACAUUCUCGCUGCCAGAGUUUAUCAGAACAAUAAAGAUAAGUUAGAUGACAAGAAGCAACAAAUAGAUUAGACUCCCUGAUUAAAACUAUUUGCAAAGACGACAAUAUAGAUCAUGAGAGAGAGUAACUUAUUUUCUGUUUAGCAUUAUUAAUUAUACUUAGAUGCAUUUUUCUUUCAUUCAGUCAAAACUAUGUAGCAAAUGAGUUUGUGUUUGGCUUUAGUAUCAAUUUAGAGGAAUAGUUUAUUUCUUUUCUCUUGCAAGACAGAGAGAGGAUUUUUAACUAGCCGAUUUAUAACUGACCUAUAUGAUUUCUAAUAUUCUGUAAUGCAAGAAUAAAACGACAAGAAGAAUACUUACACAUGAUUAGAUGUCUUCUGAUUUUCUUCAUUUGGAACAGGCAAAUUUUGUAUGAUUUUGUCAGUCUCUGUAUCAUUUUGGAGGCCUUUUUCCUCCACUUGUGUGCCCUCUUUGGACUGCACUUUCUUUUUCUUCUUAGGCUUUGCACCAUUCUCCAGGCCCACUUCCGCAGAAGGCAGCACAGAAUCACACAUGUCAGACCUGCUUGUGUACACCAAAUAAGUUGGACACACAGAUUGAUUAAUAAGAUCCAAAAUCCAUUGCCAUUAUUCAUUAAUCUAUAACUAAUGUUAUAUCACUAUUGAACUAAAACACAAUAAGAUGGAGAAUGGCUCAUUUCAAAACUUUUGAAUAUCCAAAAAAAAAAAAAAAAAGAAAAGAAAAGAGAAAACUCUAUGCCAACAUGGUUUUCUGUAGAAUGACAAGGCAUGGCCUGCACUGGGAACCAACUAAAACAAUUAUAUCUUCAACAGUUAUACAGACUCUCACCUUUUGGGCUCACCAUUAACAUCAUCAUCACUUCUUUCUUCUGACAGGAUAAAGCAAUUUCCUUCAUCUUUCGCCUCAUCAGUGCUGGUCCCACCAGAUUUCCUGACAUUGAUUUCUCUUGUUUCAAUGUUUUCUUGUUUAUCUGAACUAACCUUACAAAGAGAGGAAAUUGGCUGCAUAUCUUCACUUUCACCAUCUGAUGCUGCUGCAGCAGUACUACCAUCGGCUAACAUUUGUUUUUGAGCACUCACAUCAUCAUCAGACUCAAUCAAUUGGUAAUUCUUCCUAAGCCGCCUGUGGCUUCCUUUUUGCCUGUCUGGUAUCUCCUCAAUUUCUGGAAUUAAAGACCAAAAAGUAAAUAUCAAACACCUUCAAAUAUUUAUUGCUUACAAAAGCAACACCUCCAAACAAGUACCCUUUAAACUGAUACAUGAAAAUGAAUUAAUGGGGGAAAAAAAAAACACUCAACCUUUUUGAGCACUACCAUCCUCGUCAGAUCCACUCAAUUGGUUCUUCUUCCCAAGCCGUCUACGGCUUCCUUUUUGCCUAUCUGGUAUCUCCUCAAUUUCUGGAAUUAAAACCAAAAAAGAAAAUAUAAAAAACCUUCAAAUAUUGAUUUCUUACAAAGAAACACCUCCAAACAAGUAUCGUUUAAACUGAUAAAUGAAAAUUCUUUAUUGGCAAAAUAAUUUUUAAAAAAUAACAGUCUAACCAGAAAAUGGAAUGCAUUCAAACCACAUAAUGCAAUUAAUAAAACUCAAUGGCCAAUUCUGGUAAAUCUCAGUGGAAGCAUAUGGAGCACAUUCAUCCAAAAUAGCUGACAAUGUCAAUGUGCCAAAUUGAGGUAUUUCUGAAUAUAUCCAGAAAACAGUACAUUUUAAAUAAUAAUAUUCAAUUUCUCACAACAUCUAACUCUAAUACACAUUCACUUGUUACCAUAUCAAAUAAUUCUAAUUGAAUUAAUAGUCAAAGUUUGUUUGAAACACGUUGGUCAGAAAUUGAUUUUUCAAAUGACUGACCAGUAUAAUGGUUGUACAGGUACUUGGACUCUUGGUACUCUCAGAAAAUGUACCAAAGUAUGCAAAUAUUUGAUGGGGCCAAAUUUUUUAGUUGAAUUAGGAACUUAACAUUUUACUUGAUCGGAUAUUUGACAUUGGUGCUAAUAUCCCAAAAUUUAACUUUGAUGUACACCAUUCAAAAUAAAAGAAGGUUUGUAUAAAUGGUUUGUGAUGCCAUUUGUAUUAUUGGAUAAGCCGAUUACCUAUAUGCAUUUGAUGAAUUAGGUCAUUAAGUGUAGUUUUCUAUUGAGCAACGUGGAUUUUUUGGGUUUUAUAGUUGGCAUAGACAAGAAUAAAGUGUCGAUUUGAAGAUACAAGUGAUUAAAGAAUGGCCUAUGCCCAAAACUAUGGGUGAAGUUAGGAGUUUUCAUGGGCUAGCAACAUUUUAUAGGAGAUUCAUUAAUGGUUUUAGCAUUAUAAUUGACCUAAUUGCUGAAUACUUGAAGAAAAUGAAGUUUAAUUAGGGAGAAGAGUGAGUGACCAGUUUUACUUUAUUAAAGGAGAAGUUGUCCACCGGUCCUGUGUUAGCCUUUCCAAACUUUGACAAGUUGUUUAAAGUUAAGUGUGAUGCUUCUGGUAAGGAUAUAUGAGCUAUUCUUUCUCUGAAGGGCCGACUAAUGAAGUAUAUGAGUAAGAAGUUAAAUGAGGCAUGAUAGAAGUGGUCUAUUUAUGACCAAGAAUUCUAUACGAUCUUUUGGGUGAUAAAGUAACGGGAGCAUUACUUGAUUUAUAAGGAGUUCUUACUUUACUGUGAUCAGCAAACAUUAAAGUACUUUAAAAGUAAGCAAAACCUUAGGUAAACUAUAUAUAGAAUUUACUUUUGUUCUAAAGCAUAAGUUGGCCAGUGGAAUAAAGUAGCAGACAUGCUAAGUAGGCGAACAACAUUAUCGGUAGCUCUAGUAAAUGAAGUUACUAGUUUUGAAUACUGAAAAGAGCUGUACGAUGAAGAUAAAAAGACCUUGCGGAUAUUUGAGAUAAGUGUAUCAAUCAUCAGAAUAUGAAAGACUUUUUCAUUCAAUAUAGAUAUCUAUUAAAGGCUAAUCAGUUAUGUGUGUCUCCUAGUUUUUUAAAGGAGUAGAUUAUCUGUGAGUUAUAUGGAAAUGGUUUGAGCAACCAUGUUAGUCAAGAAAAGACCAAGGCACUUGUCGAAGAGCGAUAUUAUUGGCCAUAAUUGAAUAGAGAUGUGCGUAAGAUUAUGCACAGGUGUUGGAUUUCUCAAAAAGGCAAAGGACAAUCGCAAAACACUGGAUUAUACACAUUAUUUCCUAUUUUGAAGAAUAAUUAGUUGGAUCUAUCCAUGGAUUUUAUGUUAGGAUUGCUUCGUGUAAGGAUUGGUUGAGAUUUUAUACUUGUAAUUGUUAAUAGAUUUUUAAAGUCGAUGCAUUUUUUGCUUAUAUGAAAAUUGAAAAUGCUUCUCCUAUGGCGCAUUUGUUCUUUUGAAAAGUGGUGCGUUUACACGGUGUUCUAAAGACAAUUACUUAUAAUAGGGAUAUAAAGUUCAUCAGUAAGUUUUAGAAUUAUGUUUGGGAUCAAUUCGAAAUGCAAUUGCAAUUUAGUAGUGCUUUCCAUCCUCGGAUAGGUAGACAAAUGGAAUUAGUCAAUUGAACUUUGGGCAAUAUGUUGCACUUUGUUUGUGGUGACAAUCAGUGGAAUUGGGAAAUUAUAUUUCCUCAGCUCGGGUUUGAUUACAAUAGCAUAAUGAAUUGAUCUACUAGAAAAGCUUCUAUUAAGUUUAUCUAUACUUUUUCUCCACACCAUAUAUAUGAUCUAGAUGUCAUGUCAAUAGUAGCUCGAGUAAGCAAAGUAGCGGAUAAUGUGGCAAAUAAGGCUCUACAAUGCACUCACUUGGAGGUUGUUAAAGCUAAAUAAAAAGCUGAUGUAGAUAAGCACUAGUGCAAGAAAGUGUUUUAAGAGGGUGAUUUGGUGAUGAAACAUUUGAGGCAAAGCCAUUUUCCUAGCAUUUACACUAAAUUGGAGUAGCGAAAGUAUAAUGAAUUUCAUAAGAUUAAUGAUAAUGCUUAUGUGCUCUAGCUACCAAAAAAUUAGAUUAUCUCUCAUGCAUUCAAUGUGAUUGAUUUGUUUGAGUAUCAUUUAGAUGAUGAGGAACUAUAUCAGCCUAACUUGAAGAUGGGUUCUUUUCCAAUUGACGGGGACUGAUGUAGCAUAGUUGUGUAGGAUGAGCAAGGUACAUUUCAGAGGUCAUACCUUGGGCUACAUGUGUUAGUUUUAGACAUGUAAUAUACUAUUUCGAAGGUUACAACAAGAUAAACAAAAAAUAGAAUUGCUUAUGUUGUUUUAUCACAUGAUCUAGUAAAAACUUUUAUGUUUUUCUUAGUCGUUUGGCCAUUUUUAAUUUUUUUUUAUUUUUUUAUUGCUUUCAACAUUUUUUUUUAUUCUUGAUAUCAGAUCCGAGUACUGUUUAUUUUAUUUUCCUUAUUUAAAUUAUGGUAAUUUUAUUAUAAAAUAAUAUUUUAGAUUUACUUAUUUUGAUAAAUUCAAGAUAUUUAAGAUUAGUACAAAAGCUCUACAAAACCAUAGUUUUAUUCAUUAAGACUUUUUGGUAAUACUUUUGUUAUUGGGUAAACUUAGUAUCUUUUAUUCAUGCAAAUAUGGAAGUAAGUUUCUUAGGAUGAGAUCUUGAGAAUUAUAACUUGUUACUUAUAACUACCGAAAUUGAGACUAUAAUUUUUUUAUAACUAUAUAACAUUUAUUAUAUAUAUAGUAAGACCUCUCUCUCUAUAUAUAUAUGAUUUUCUUAAUUGUACUAGCAUAAUACUUUAUACAUUUCAUUGUUCAUUGUUACUUUUUUACAUCUUCUAGAUGAGAAGCCAUUGUUGUGUUCUAUGUACUAUGUUGAGACAAAUAAGAGAGAAUUGGCUUAAUAUGUUAUCUUUAAAAUGUCUUCUCUAAUAAGCUAUCAUGUAAUUGCAAUCCAACCAUGGAAUCUAGCCAAAGGACUAUCAAAUGGCUGAUUCAGUCAAUUAACAUAAAAUAAGAAUCAUAUCAUACAACUUGAAAAUUACAUUCUCUAAUUAUAUUAACUCUAUACUUCAUAAAAAUUUCUAUUAUGAAUAUGAUAUUAUCUUUAUAAAUUAAUAAAUCAUUUAUCGAUAUAUUAAUUUUUUGCUAAAUUAAUAGAUUUUUCAUAGUCCUAAAAGUGACAGAGCCAUUACGCUUGUCUUAAAAAUCCUUGAAAAUAUGUUAUACAUGUUUAAGUGCAAUUACAAAAUUGUCCCUAUUAGAUUAGUUAUUUGUUUUAAUUUAAGUUUAAAAUUUCUUAAGAAAUUUGAUCAAUUUUGAGCUCAAUUGUAAAGGGUCAUUUUUAAAAGCUUCUUCUAUGAUUUGGGGUAAUUACAGCUAGAUGGCGAGUUUCCUUGCAUCUUCACUUACCUCCCAUGCUAUUAGUAUGAAUACAUGUUGAUGGUUAAUGAACUGUCAAAAUAACCAAAAUACACUUUUGGGUUAUUCAGCUAAGAAGAAGUGCAAUUUGGUACCCAAAAUUUGGUAGGAAGCUAUCAGCUCACCAAUUGACCAAACUUCUGAUGAAAGGAUUCUCCUUUAUUAUUUAAUGAUCUCUAGUAUAUCAUAAAUACCUCUGUAAAAUAAAAGAUGUACGUUGACUAAUAAUAAUUUUAUUUUUCUUGGAAAAGAAAUCAAAGUUGCCAAUAUUAGCAUUGCUAUCAAUAAUAUUAUUGGUAGCACCUUUCCUUAUUUAUACACCACUUCAGCAAGUAUUAGCCCCUAUCACCAUUGCACAUCUAUUUUCGAGCAAAAAAUACGCACCAAUAGACCAACUAGUCAAGUUUUUGUUCAACAAGCACAUGGAUUCUCAAAGCUUAAAUGAAUCAUGAAGGCCAAACAUGCAACAAGAAUAUGAGCCAACAUAGAGAAAUUGGGUUAAUGGCAAGCUGAUUAGCUUCUCAAAAUUUAUAUGUAGAUGUCAUAUGAGAGUUGAAGUGAAGAUAUGAGUAUCGAAUGAUAAUCAUCAAAAGUUGUAUUAUACAUGCAUGAACAAACCCAAAUGCGACUACUACAAGUGGUCGGUUUCUGAAAGAGAUAACUUCAACAAUGGGGUUGUUUUUGAAUUAAAUAUGGUUGGCAUGGUGGAUUCUCAUGUCAUUAGCAUAAUAGAUAAUAAUGUGAAGUGAAGAGUAUUAUCAACAAGCUACAAAAAUAUGGACAUUUUGAAGGUGCAAUGAAGAUAUUAAUGCACUGUAAUAUAGAGUUGUCAUCAAUGAAUGUUAAUAAUGCUUAAGAUGCAUAUGUAACUCUCGUCCUAAAUAAAAAAAAAAAAAAAACAGAUGCAUGUCUUAAAUUAGUAAUGGAAUCAGGAAAGUUUAUGCUUAAUUACUAUCUGGAACAUAAGUUUCUCUGACUCUUCUUAAAUAAACAAGUUGCAAUAAGCACAAAUAACACUGGUUUAAUUCAAAAGAAUGUGCUAUAUGAACAAUAAACUAUCCCGAUAAAGAAUUAGCAUGUAAAAUUAAAACCACAAGAGCAUGCUUGUAAGUGACAAUAAUUAAAUUGAAAACUAGUGUGCAUAUAAAGACCAAACUAGCAAGUAAAGUGACAACAAUAUACAAAACCAGACUUCUGACCCACCAUCACCAAACCAGCAAACAAAGGUAACAAUAGUUUAAAUCAACACCACGAAUCUAGUAAGAUACAAAACUAGUCUCCAAACUGAACACAAACCACCAACACCACUAAAACAGUAAGAUACAUAAGCAGGCUAAAAACAAUUGAACACUGAAUCAACAACCAAAGGUAACAAUGGAUAAAUAAACAUCACCAAACCCACAAGGUUUGGAACUAGCCUUGAAAUUGAACACCAAACUAGCAAGCACAAAGUCCAUUGUAGUUUCAUAGAUAACAAAACCAAUAGGAUGAAGAAUAAAGACUAAAAUUGAACACUAAACUUGCAACUUGAAGUAACAAUAUAACUCAACAACGAACUAGCAACGAUAACCAAAUUAGUUUUUCACAAGUACUUUAAAAUUUUGGAUCUCAAUAAGACUUAGCACAAUGGUUCCAUAAUUUGAAAGACAAUGAUUAAUUAUAUUAAUUUAAACAACUUACAUUUAGUGAUCGUCACAAUUGGCUGAAUUUCAUUAACCUUUAAAAUAAAAAAUAACCAUAUUUACAAAAGAAAAAGAAAAAUAACUUUACUAAUAGUUCGCCAUCAUAGAUGAGUUAUAAUUCAUAGACGGCAUUGUCAUUAUAAUGUGAAUUUGUUAAUAUAAUACAAAAUAUAUAAAAACGCAACCUUAUGUCUACGUUUGAAUACCAAAAGAUAAUACAACAUCUUAAUUAUAAUGCUUACACUUAAAACGUUAUUGUAUAAUCAGAUUCCUUAAAAGAAUAUGUUGUAUAGGACUACUUUGGGUUUUGUUGCCUUUAUAAUAAUAUAGAAAAUUGUGUAGUUGACAUGCUGCUGAUGUAAUAACUUUAAAUUUGUUACUUUUGAGUUACUUGUCCUUCAUUAGCAAAUAGACCUAAUUAGAACCUUAUAUAGUUUUUAUAUACACUUUGUUUGAAAAUAUAAACAAAACAUAAUUGAGAUAGUUAAGAUAAUACCACGUCUAAUGACAUUGGACUAAGUUGAUACUAUAUUUCUAGCAGAUGCCCUUAAAUGAAUACCAUCAUAAUCAUACUUUGAACUAGAGUAUUCACCUUCCUGCACAUAUAUACACAUAUACAUAUAUACACAUAUGCGUACACAUACACACAUAUAUAUCAGCGGUUGAUAUGUUAUUUAGAAAAUAGUCAUGCAUGAAAAUAAAUUACAAGACUAUAAUCACUAACCUUUGAAGAAUUUCACUUCAGUUCCACUUUCUUGACCUUCAAACACUAUGUAAAUACCUUAUAACCCCUUUUAUUAUGACUCUAACGAUUAUAUCUUGAGUAUUUCACACUAGAAACUACUUUUGAAGGACUUUGCUUCACUAGAUUCUUUCUUUUUCUUAAUCUUAGGCUGGCCAGCAAGUCUAAUGAUAAGUGGUGGUUGAAGAUUAUCAUGCCCAAGCAGAGACCAUUUGCUUUCAUCCACCAUUGGGUAUAAUUGGUGACAAUAGGUGUUCUUGAAUGCUAUUUCCCUCAUAAAUAUGUGAAUAUAGUCAUUCACAUUAUACAUCAUGGCAUCAAUGCAAUAGAUUACAUGCUUGCAAGUCAACCCUAAUGUAUCCUACUUACUGCAGUCACAAUGUUUUCCUAACAAAUCAACAACAGUCCUUAUAGAUAUAUCUUUUAUCACCUCAAAUGUUUUUUUGUGACCAAAUUGUUAACAUGUAUAUGUUUCUAAAAUUGAUUUUGAUGAUAACAAACUUUAAUGUUUUUAUUAAAAAUGUUGGAGUUUUCAUUAAUAGAUAAAUUCUUAAACGCCGUAUAAUAUUUCCAGACAUGUUUAUGAAUUUGGAUAAACGUUAACUUUAAUCAGAAAAUCAUUCUCUACAAAAGACUAUUAAAAUGCUAAUUCUAGAAAAUAACGGUGAAUCGUUUACUGAAAAUAGUUAACCGAUAAAUUCUAAAGAGCUAUAAAUUUGUUAUGCAAGUUUAUGAAAAUAAAUGGCUAACCAAUAAUGUCAAACAACUGACCGAUAAUUUCAGAAAAGAAUUACAUUCUAACUGUGAACCGUUUAGCAAGAACGGUCAAGCUAAAUUUGUUUUACAGGUUUCUGGAAAUUAAUGGCUAAUCGAUAAUUUCAAAUGGUUAACCGAUUAUUUGAAAUUUCAGCUCAACGGUCAUUUGGACGGUUAAUUGAUAGAAGUUAACGGCGAACUGAUUUUGUUCAGAAAGUCAAUAAUGGCUAGUUUUCAGCUCCAACUAUAAAAUGACUUAAUCAAAUUCAAAUAAGAAGUCAUCCAAGAGUUAUUAUUGAGCUUUCAAUUAAGAAUACAACCUUCAUUGAGCCUUAACUUGUUCUUGUUUCAUUUAUUCACACUUUGAGCUCUCAUUUGUAGCUAUAUACAUUGUGUGAAAGAAAAUUCAUUUGUAAUAUUUGUUUUUGAGUGAUUGUAAGUGUUGGGAAACACUUGGGUUAAGAGAUUGAGGAUAAUCUCUUGUUGUAAAGGUUUAUUGACACAUUCGAAGUCAAUUGUAAGAGUUAUUGUAGGAUUAGAGGCUCGAUUAGUGGAAUCCUCAAGCCCGGUGAGCUUAGAGGCGUGGAUGUACGCACGGUUGGCCGAACCACAUAAAAAUCACGUGUUUGCUCUCUUGUACUCUAUAUCCUUAUUUUUGAUUGCAUAUUAAUUUGUUUAUUUCGAAUUUGAUUACUUUGUUUAAUUUGCAUUUAGUUUUAAUUGCUUAAAUUUUUAGAAGCCCAAUUCAGCCCCUAGUGGGUUGCCUAGUUAAUAUUUCACAAACGUCAUUGUCGAUGAUCUAAAUGCCUUCCUUGAUUUCAUAACCCCCUCAUAACAGAAGGUAACCCAUCCUGCCAAGUAAGAACUUGUUUCUAUCUCAUGUGAAUCAGUUUCAUCAUUUUCCUCUUUAUUUCUUUAAGCAUUUUGAGAUCAGUCUGCUUCUAAAAUUUGAGAUGUUGAAAGACUUAGUCAUGUUAUUGGUGACAUGGUUGCUUUUAGUAUAGGUAGAAAAAAAUAUUUAGCCCAACAGACUGUUGGUAUUUACAUUAACCAAUCAUGUCCAAUGCGUUAAUUUCCUAAGCAAAAAUUUUACUUCUACAUGCUUGCUAGAAUGAUUUCCUAAGCAAAACACUAGGAAAUUUCUGCUUAAAGUUUGCAUAAAUAUGUCUACAAUAAUAUAUCUUCAAAACUUGAGGAAACACCCUCUCCAAUGCAUUCAAUGUCCCUUCUGUCAGUCACUCAUAAAAUACAAGCCAUCCUUAUCAUUAUAGCCUAUUUGUUCAUAUAGUUUCUAUAUAAAGUAUGCCCUCUAUUGUUAUUUUCUACUACACAUAAUGCCAAUAGAUAAAUGCCAUGCUGCUUUUGAAAAAAAUCCCUUUUUACUCGCAUCAAAGAACACAAAGAAUCAUCUAAAAUGAGGAUUAACUCUAUCCCUAACCAAUCCCUAUAUAACGAUACUGUGGAACUAGGAUCAGAAACAAGUAUUGCAUGCAUAUGCCUAAACAGUUUGCUUUAAUUCAUUUUAUAGUCUUGUCCUAAUAGUUUUAAGGCCUUGUUUUUUCUAUGGUACAACCUUUGAUUGCGGCUAGUUAUCCCAUAUCUUCUGAAUAUUUUUUAUGUAAUGUCAUUAAUUGGAAGUUGAUUAUUAGCUCUGAAGAGAUGAAGAAAGGUAAUAGUUAUCCACAUUAAUUUGCUUCAUAGUUCUCACUGUUCCUUCAAAAGCAUGCUUUGAAUACUAAGUCUUAAUCUUAAAAUUACCCUUAUUUCGAUAAUGUAUCGUCCAACUACAUUCUAGUGCAGAACACUUGAAUGUCAUAAAAAUCACAAAUUAAUGAGUUUGUAUAUCUCUUGAAACUAUAAAUAGAAUAAAUCAUAAACAAAACACAACCAAUAACAAUAUUCAUUAGUAACGUAGAUAUAUGUCUAAACCCAUUCUCCUUUUAAUCAAUUUUUUUCCACCAUCAGCUUCAUAACAACAGUUCAAACUCAGCAAAAUUUGGAUGAAAAAAUAAAAAAAGAUUGGUGCGCAUACUUCUAUGUUACAUACCAAUUUGCAUAAAAAUCAUAAAUUACUAACUUUAUAUGCCUUGUUACAUUAUGAAUAGCAUAAAUCACAAACAAAACAUAGCCAAUAACAACUUUUUUCAACUAAUAUAGACAUAUAUCCGAACCCAUUCUCAUUUUAAUCAUUUUUUUCAACACCAGCUUCAUAACAAUAAAUCAAAAAUAUUCAAAUACAACUUCUGAAACUUCUAUCUCCAAAACAAGAAAGUUGAAGCUAAAUAAUAAAUCAAAUGUAUUGUUGAAAAUCACCGGGACAAAACUGCUUUUAUUACAAUCAAGGCUUGUACUAAUAUAUCAUGCCUUUUUGCUUAGAAAAAAUAGAGCAACAUGUUAAAGAUUGGUGAACCUCAUGUUUUAA